rnacentral:lncRNA from 1 species
UCGAACUCUCUCUCUCUCUCUAUAUGUAUAGUCCUACUAUUAUACUCUUAUCAGUAUAGACCCUUUUAUACUCACAAGUUUUCGGCCGUUAGAUCUACCCCCUUGACUAUUUUAACCCAUUAGAUCAUAUUGUGCAACCAACCAUCCACUCAACUCUAGGGAACUACUAUUAUUAUAUAUAUAUAUAUAUAUAUAGAGUCCGGCUACUAUACUAUCGGUAGCACGGAACGCUCCGUGCUACCAAAUUGUUUUCGAUGAUGCGGUUUUCAAAUUGACGAUCGGCUCCGUUAGACUUGAUCUACACUAUUGAAAGUGUUUGAAAGCUAAAUUUCAAAUUUUUUCGACAUUAUUUGACUAGUGAUCAAACGAUCUCAAAAUUGAUAAUUUUAAUAGCCGAUGUGGUGUGUUUGAGAGUUUAACGGUAUAAAACAAUCUAAAUCCGAUGAAAAUUUUAUAAAAAAUUCUUUUCACUAUUUAGAGUAAGAUCAGUAUAUCUGAUCUUGAAUUUAAUCUGUUAUCAUUAUUUUUUAUGAGAUUUUUAUAUUCAGCCGUUCAAUUUUAGACUACUUGUUUGAUAAGUAAAUGGUAUCGAAAAAUUAUGAAAUUUAGUUUCUAAAUACUUUUAAUAGUGUAGAUGAAGUCUAACGGAGCCGAUCAUCGAUUUGGAAGUCGCAUCAUCGAAAACAACUUGGUAGCACGGAGCGCUCUGUGCUACCGAUAGUAUAGUAGCCUAGCUCUCUCUCUCUCUCUCUCUCUCUCUCUCUCUCUAUAUAUAUAUAUAUAUAUAUAUAGUUCGGCUAUGGUGCUUGUAAAUGUACCAACUACUUGGUACUUGUAAGUUUUUACCGUUAGAUCUACGUCUUUGAUCAUUUUUAACCAUUAGAUUAUACUAUUUAACCAACUACCCACUGAACCCUAGGGGGCCCACAUCAUCCUCACCGUACAUCCCUUAAUCCAAGGACCGAAAACUUAUAAGUACCAAUGACUUGGUACUUUUAAAAAUAUAGAAGCUCAAUUUUAUAUAUAUAUAUAUAUAUAUAUAUAGUGAGGUUACUAUGCUAUCGGAAGCACGGAGCCUUCCGUGCCUUCCGUGCUUCUAGCUCGUUUUCGAUGUUGCGACUUUCGAAUCGUCGAUCGGCUCCGUUAAACUUGAUAUAGAGUAUUUGGAGUACUUAGAAAAUAAAUUUUAUUAUUUUUCGAUGUCAUUUGCCUAGUGAUCGAAUGGGCUCAAAAUCAAUAAAUUUCAAUGGCCGUAGUGAGCGUUUGCAAGUUUAACGGUGUAGAAAUAUCCAAAUCACGUGAAAUUUUGAUAGAAAAUUUUUUAUACUAUAUAAAACAAGAUCAAUAUCUUUGAUUUAAAAUUUUAAUGUCAUAUUAUUAUAUUUUGUAAGAUUUUUAUUUUCAGCCGUUGAUUUUGAGCCCCUUCGUUCACUAGGCAAAUGAUAUCGUAAAAUNNUCUCUCUCUCCCUCUAUAUAUAUAUAUAUAUAUAUAUAUAUAUAUAUAUAUAUAUAAACUUAUGCAAGAAUCUUAUAGUAAUUGGACAUGGAAAAUAUAAUAAGAUAUAGAUAAUGGCUUUGGGCAUAUAUUUAGUUUGGAAAAUACUCAAAAACAUAAGAAUCAUAAACACCAAAUUAAAGCUUAAAUUGUUGAAAAAGCAAAUUGAAAAAGGAGCUUCAAGAUUUAUCAAAAACUAAAAAAAAUGACUAAAUUACAAAAAAAUCUCCUAUAAAUAUCUAUUUUCUCACUUUUUCUUCGUGACUUUCAAAAGUCUAUAUUUUACCUGCUUAAAAUUUCAGAAAUAUUUUCAAAAAAAUGCGGCAUUACUAAACAGGACAAAAUGAUCAAAUUAUCCUCACUAUUUCUAUUAAAAAAAUUUAAUAUAUUUUUAUAUUUUGAAGGACAUUUUUAAUAUAAAUUAUAAUAAAUAAACGGAAUAAUAAUAAAACCCUAAAAGACUAAAUACAAUAAUUUAAAAUUUUAAAAAGAUAAAAUACAAAAUUUCAAAAAUUAUAAAAAAAAUAAAAAAUUCAUAAAAAAAUUUUCUAUAAUUUAAAAACUGCAAAGAACACUUAUCUCAAAAAAAAAAAAAAAAAAAAAAAAAAAAAAAAAAAAAAAAAAAAAAAAAUAGAUAAAUAAAUUGAAGAACAAUGUAAAGCUAGAUCUUAGGAGAGCAAUUGACUAUAUAUACAAAAAAGCUCUUGCAAUACAUUUCCAGUACACUCUCCAGUACAGUUCACAACUCACAACUCACACAACUCCUGCAACUUGCAUGCAUGCUGCUACUUAUUUAAAGCCUAACUACAGGAAACUGGGAGUCCACUGAACCAGCUCAGAAACUGGUUGAGCCGCGACCGCGACCGCCGCCGCCGCCACGUUGGUUCGGUCCAGGGAAAAAGGCCGACUCUUGCUGCGCGUUGAAGACCUCGUCCACUUCUCUCGCUGCCACGUCGAAUGCGAGCUCCUUAGCCUCCUUCUCCAUCUUCUUUAGUAUAUUAUUUCUCCCUGCGCGAAACCAAGUUCAGGAACAUCUGAUUCAAUAUAACCAACCAACGAAGCUACAAUUCGCAUGUUGAAAAUCAAUAUCGAAAUCAAUACCGAAACAUAUAGUUUUAGUUAGAAGUUCUAAGAUCUUCGUAUAAUUCUUGAACCAAAAAUGAAACCCAAAUAUUGGUUUACAUUUAGUUAGUUCAAUAUUGUGCAGGACAAUUAUACAUGCAAAUUAUGUUCUUUUUUUUUUAUUCCCGUUUAGGCCCCAAGGACCUGGUCAACCUAUACAAUCUUACCAAGCGAUGUAAGAUUUAUCUCACACUAUUGUUUAAUGAACUAAUUCCGAUAACAAAUGUAACGAUUCGACCCACUAAUAGUAAUAAUCUGUUGUUCCUAAACCACCAGCCAAAAAUACUUAAGUCCAGUUAUUACUAAGGGCACGUUUGGUUCGAGUUAUGUAAUAUUAUAGAGUAUUUCGAUAUAUUCAUAUAUCUUGGAUUUCUAAAUAAAAUUACUACUGAUACUGCAUUAGCGCGUUUAGUUUAAUACAGUAAUAUAAUACUGGAUUGCAGUGUUUAUAGCAUUAUUGAUUUGUCACAUAUCAUGAGUGUCUUACUAUACAUUUUCUCUCAUAUAUCUUUGGGUUUUUUUUUUUUUUUUUAAGUCAAAAGUGAAAAUGAAGCCAAAGUAUUCUGUAUAUACCUGCAAGGAAGAACUUCUCAUUGUUCUCUGCCCUGAUGCCAAAGCAGAGAACCUGGAGGUUCUCAUUCGGGGAGGCGACAGCGACUACCGGGUGGCCGGGAGGGAUCACGAAGACCGAUCCGCGGCAGACCUCUGACUUAACGAGCUGAUACCGCGGGCCUUCUUCUUGUUCUUCUUCGCCUUCCUUCUCCCGCUCUUCUUCGCUUUCGCCGCCUCCUCGUCUUCUCGAUCCUUUUUGCUUCGAGAUGUGAGGACACGCCAUUUCCAUGUAUCCGCUCCCUUGCACAACAAAUGCAAUCUUGAUUGCCCUUGAGUUGUAGUUUGGUGCCAUCAUUGAUCCCUGAAAUUAAAGGGGAAAGGGCUCAUUCUAUGUCUAAGUGCAUAUUCUCAUGGAAAUAUACUUGAAUUAUGAUAUUGUUUGGUAAAGUGCGACCUAAAUGGCGAACGUAUUAGUUAAGUGCUUCAAACAUGUGUUCGCAAGACUCAAAAGUCUCGUUUUUCUCUGCAACUAAAACUAGUAUCUACCAAAAGCAAAAGCAAAAGCGAAACCAGACAAGUGCAUUAAUUUUUUCUCUUAAAAAGGACUUGUACAUUUAAGUGACUCCUAGCUAGGAUUGUUUUUACAAGUGGUUGUUUCGUGCAUACGACGGAUCUGGUGGUGUAUCUGAAACUUUCGCUAUAAUCCAGGACGUGACAGACACGGUAAAUAAUUGAUUAGAGUUUGAUAACUACUCACUUGGCUUAUAUUAGCGAUGGAUACAUCCACAUUGGGGUCUUGGAAUUGUCGGUAGUCGUUAGCAUUUACUUCAUAGAGUUGGCCAUGGUUGUUCGCGUAGGACGGUCGCUUGUUCAAGACAUUGAACGGCUUUCUCGAUUGCUCGAAAGGCCGUUCUCCGCCGCCGCCGCCGCCGCCUCGGCUUGAUUUGCUUAAUGCCUCGAUUUGUUCUUCGGAUGCUCUUAUGAUCUCUCCUUUACUUUGUUGCCCAAAGAGUCUCUCCAAUCUAUCUCGCGGGGUCUAAACUUGUUUAAAUGAUCAUACACAACUAAAUUGAGCAUAAACCAAGUAUAGAAAUGGUGACUUGCAAAAUAUAUAUAUAUAUAUAUAUGAAUUAUUAUAGAGAGCAAGAAAUAAAUAAAUAAAUAAAGAUGCGAACGCACAUUGAACGCUGCUUCAAGAACUUCAUCACUAAAGCUUGUGUAGAAUGUCUCCGGUUUCCUUCCGCCUGCUCCAAAGAACUCCUAAUUAUAAAGAAAAUUUUUCAUAAAAGAAAGGCAAAAAACAAAUUAAAUUCAAAACCUUACAUAGAUUUUAAAUUUAAAUCCCUUCAAGUUUCUAAGCUUAAAAUUGUAAAUCAUUUUGGGAUCUAGACUCGUUUAUCUUCUUUUCGUUUUAGUUUCGAAAAUUAAGAUAAAAAAAUUUCUAGCUAUCAGAUGAGUGAGAGUCACUACAACAAUUUUUUUUCUAUCACAUCAAUUUAAUUACAUCAAGAAUUAAAAUAUUAUACCGACCGUUCUUAAAGCAAAUGACAAAGGAUUUUGUGGUUGGUAACCCCAGGUCCCAAGUUCGAAUCCUAGUUGAUUCGCAUUUUUCCAGCUAAGUUUAUUUCUAAAUAAAAUAAACGAAGCUCUGAUAUCACUGAUGCUAUUUUGAGAAGCGACGCCCCAUCAUGUUUAACAUUAAAUCGAUUAAAUUUUAAAAAAUACCGUUAUCUAGCAGCAUAAGUCGUGAAAAACAAGCAAAUGGUUGGUUCAUAAUUGUUGUCGAUAGCAAAUUGUUCAAUGAGAUACAAAUAUAACCUCGAAGCGCCCCGGAAUGGAGAUCGGACGAAGGAGCAUCGCGAUCCGGAGCUUCUCGUUACGAUGUUUAUUGAUCAAAUACACUAUCAUACCAGAAGGAACCACCAUUGUAUCUCCUUCCUUGAUAUCAUACGACUCUUUGUUCUUCUCCGAUAAUAGUGUUAUAGUUCCCUCCCCUGUAAUCAAAAAUAAAAAAAAUAAUUAUCAUUGAUCUUAAUGAAUGUAGCAUGUAACUCGCUCAUCGUAUCUAAAUAAUAAUAAUAAUAAUAAUUAACCUCAGCCAUAUGUAGUGACUAACUAAUUUAAAAUGAAAAGAAAAAAAAUUAUUCUAAUUAUUAAACACAUAAGAAAUUGUUAUAUUUACUGCACACUUCAAAAUUUUAUUUCUUUUACAUAAAAGUAACCAUUUUACCUUAAAUAAAUAUGUGAUGAAGUACUUUUACCAUCAAUAUUUUUUUCGAAUGUAUUCAUAAAUUAAUUAAUUAAUUCUAUUUCUCACAACAUAAAAUCUAGACACUUAAUUUUUUUUUUCUUUCUCAACAACAUAUAAGAUAAAAAAUCAGAAGCUAACUAAAAAUGUCAGAAAAUUCAAAACUUAAAAUUAAAAUUUUAAAAGAUUGAAUAAUUAAUUAGUUCACAAUGUCUAUAGUUUUGACAAAUUAUUGUACAGUUUUACAUUCUAAAAAUAAGUAGAAAAACAUAUAUACCAGCUAUAUACAUUAGAUUUGAUUUAGAGAAUUUGAAGUAUCUAAAAAAUAAAUUUUACAAAUUUUUGAUAUCAUUUACCUGACGAUCGAACUGAAGAUCGAAGAUACUCAAAAUUAAUAAUUUUAAUAAUCGUGGUGUGAAACAACCGUUGUACUUAUAUUUAACACUCCCCCUCACGUCUGGGCUCGAGACUUUUUAAUCGGCCCAUGACGUGGGCUUGAAUUAAAUGGGAGGAAAUUAAUAUGCUAGGAGUCUGGCGUGACUCGAACUCAGGACCUCCUGCUCUGAUACGAAACAACCGUUGUACUCUAAAAGCUUAAGCUGUUAGAGAACGGUGUUUAAACAUUUUUAUAUUUAACACGUGGUGAGAUAUUAAUUGUAAAUUUUACGAUGUAAAAAUAUUCAAAUCAUAUAAAACCUUGAUAGAAAAUUGUUUAAUUACACUAUAUAUUUAUAUAUACCUCCCAUCACGUAGAACACUUCGUCUGCGUCCCAGUGGCUCGGCACGAGGAACGCCCGCGGCGCCGCCUCGAGCACGGCGACGCGAUACUCCGCGAUCCCCCGCAGCAGCUCCGACCUCUCCGCGAACCGCUGCAGCACCCUGAAGCGGCCGUGCUGCGUCUCCGCCCAGCGCUCGUAGCUCCGCUCGUCGAAAUAGUAAGGGUUAUAUGCAUGGUGAUCUUCGUCCCUUGCGUUUGGUGAUCUCUCCCUCUCCCCUCCACUCCCCCUACACAAACUAAAGCACCUGCGCUCGCAAAGCUCCCUGUUUUGUGCGUCGCCCUCUAAACUACGGCAUAUUUUGUGGCAUUGGCAUAUCCGUGAAGCAUCAGAAUUAGCUAAGGAGAUCGAGGAGAGGAGGAGGAAGAGGACUCUAAUUGCUAGUGAUUUUGGAUUCAUUUUUGUGUGUUUUUUUUGUUGUUUUUUUUUUUUUUUCUUUUAACACUACUAUACUAUGGAGGUAUGGGUUGAGAGUGGGAGAGAAAGUGUGGAGUAGUGUAAGUAUAUAUAGUGCUCUUUAUUAUAUAGGCUAAGGGUGGUGGGGAUUAAUGUGCACGUAGUAUAAUUUAGUGUGAUACGUGGAUGCAUGCAUGGCGCCAUGUGGUGACGUAGGAGAUGCGACGUGGAGAGAAAGAGAGAGAACUGGGUCACGGGGUGGCGUUGGAUAUAGAGAGGGAGAGAGAGUUCACUUAGGGUGCGUUUGGUUCGCAUUAUGAAAAAUUACUAAAAAUAAAAAAUAUUUGAGAAUUUUUUUCUAUUCAUUCUAUUACUAAGAAUGUGAAAUUUCUGUGUUUGGUUCGCACGGUAAUAUUAAUUAGUCAUAUUAUUUAAUAUUAUAAAAAAUAUGCAAUUUAUUUAUUUAUUUAUUUAUUUAAUUUUAGAUAAUGUUAUCAAAAAUUUCAACAUCUUUUUAGAAAAAAAGGGAGAGAGAGUAUAAUUAAAAUAAAAGAAAGAAAAAUAUAGUCGAAAUUAGAGGGAGUGAGAGAGUUGAAAUUUUAGAAAGAGAGAGAGAGAAAGCUUAGUUUAGAGAGAGAAAAAAAAAUUGAAUUUUAAAGAGAAAAAUAAGUUUAGAAAGAGAUAUAAGGUUAGAGUGUAAAGAAAAAUAAUAUCAAUUAGCCGGCGGAUAGGAAGAAAGAAAGAGAUUAGAUAUAUUAUGAUUACUUAAAUCCAUUAAUAUGAGGAUACCCAUCCUCCCUCAAGGAAAUGAGAUUAGUACUUUGGGGUGAAUCUUAUUCCCAAGUGAAUCCAAUAUUACCAACUGGAUUACUUAGUGCGUUUAGCCAAACACCAUCAUAUUUUUUUAUUUCCAUUGAAUUACUAAGAAUUUUUGAAAGAUAGCGCGAACCAAACGCACCCUAACAUGCAUGCGUGGUUCAAAUCGAUAUUCGGUCCAUGGUUUUGCACCGUUCAUUUAAUCUAGCUAAUUGGUACCUGCACUAUGCCGGUACUUUUCAUCUUCAAUCACCGUCGUGCCUAUCUCUUUCUCCUUUUGCAAAUUAGGCUUGUGUGUUUCCUUUUUCCAGUUUGCUACGUGUUUUUUUAUAUGAACUAAUAGAUUUUUUUAACCUUCGACUGUUGUUCGAUGAAACCGAAAUUAAUAAAUGAUGAUGAUGCUAAUAUAUUCUGUUCGUGUGCAUGCAUGAUAGUUAAUGCUCAGUGUAGUCAUUGUCGUCGUUGUUGUUAUCGUUAUCGUCAUCACGCUUUGUAUUCUCCAUAAUCGGCGCCGCAUUUGUAUUUUAUUGUGUGAAAUUGGUGUUGUUGUAGGGACUUUUGUGAAAGAAAAAAGACAAAGUAAUGUGGUCCCAUUAGUACCGUCCAAAUAUGUUAGUUACUUGUCGACCGCGGUCUAAGCAUUGUCUAAUGGUAUAAAAUAAUAGGAUCUUUAACAACUGCAAACAUUAAUAAAUAAACUAUACUAUUCUCCCUUAANUUUAGAAAGAGAGAGAGAGAGAGCUUAGUUUAGAGAGAGAAAAAAAAAUUGAAUUUUAGAGAGAAAAAUAAGUUUAGAAAGAGAUAUAAGAUUAGAGUGUAAAGAAAAAUAAUAUCAAUUAGCCGGCGAGUAGGAAGAAAGAAAGAGAUUAGAUAUAUUAUGAUUAUCCUAAUCCAUUAAUAUGAGGAUACCCACCCUCCCCCAAGGGAAUCAGAUUAGUACUUCAGGGUAAAUCUUAUUCCCAAGUGAAUCCAAUAUUACCAACUAGAUUACUUAGUGCAUUUAGCCAAAUACCGUCAUAUUUUUUUAUUUCUAUUGGAUUAUUAGGAAUCUUUAAAAGAUAGUGCGAACCAAACGCACCCUUACUACUAUAUUAGCAACUAUUUUAUAACCCUCUCCAACUCCGCUCCGUUGAGUAAAUAAAGUAAGAGGUUGAACAUUUUUUUUUCUUGAAUUCGAUUUGACUCAUCAAAAAUUCGCUAAAAAUUUACUUUUAUUCUGAUUUGUUCCACAAGUGACACAUAGUAGAACAGAUAUCGUUGAGUAGGAGAUUAGACGAUCUCACAACUUCAGUAUCGAAAUAAAUAACAGCGUAAUCAAUUAUCUCAGUGUGCGAGUUCAACCUCCGAGAGCCACUUUUUACCACGCAAACAGCAAAAUUUGAAGAACUCCAGUUCUAUAUAGCUAUACAAAUAAACAACCAAAAAAAAUCCACCUGAACACUUAUUCAUCCAAAGGCUACUAUGACCUUUCAACUUCUAGCUUCAGUGAAAGAAACAUGCUUCAGCUUCAAAAAUAAAAAUAGUACGAAAUAAAUAAAUUAUAAAAAAUAUAUAUAAUUCAUGGCAAAAUUUCUUAUAGGCCGCAAUGAUGCCUCUCUAUUACAAUACACUAGGCAUAAUAUAAUAAUAAUAAACAAGAUUACUCAACUAAAGAAAAGUUACAAAAAAAAUACAACUGAGCCAUUUGAAGCAUGAGCUUCAGUGAGGAGAGAAAACAGGUUAGAAGCUGUACACUCAGAAAACAAUUCUCUUCCAAACCGCGAUCUUCCUCGACAUGGUAGGAGUAAGAAACUAUCUCUUCCAUGUCCCCGCCUUCAUCGCCGCUAUCUUCCGCUUCUUGUGGGCGCGGUGCUUCGCGGCGAUCUGCAGCUUCCGCUUGGCAUGGCGCAUCGGGUUGACGACCGCGACGAGCUUCUGCGACUGCUUGCGCUUCUCCCUCUUCUGCUUGAGAUUCUUCCUGAUCAUGUUGUAGACUUGCACGAAAUUAUCCACCCCUAACACGUCGCGCACGCUGUCGCGCACCUCUUCCGCUAAUUGCUUGAUUUCAUCUGAUAAGAUUAGAGACAGGUUCAAAUAUCCAUUAUUCCGGCAAUUCAGAUAGCUGUUUACACUAGAUCGACGCAACCAAGAAAUAGUUUACUAGGGUGGUCGCUUGGACGCGGCCAAAUUGCCCCGACUCGAUGCGGAGUCUUUUUUAGGACAGGUUAGUGGUGAUAAGAGGUGUGUAGCAACAAGAAGCUUACAAGCUUUAAGCAAUUUAGUGCACUCGCAAAAAUGGUAAAUCAGUAAGAAAUAUCAGAAAAUGGCAAACAAUUAACCAUUCGACCAUUCAAGAGUGACAAACUCACCGCCGACGAUCUUUCCAGCAAAUCCUUCGCAAACUUUAUAUAAAGGAAAAAGCAUCUGAGGGGCAUAGGCAAGGGAGUCUUCGGAACCAAGUUGUAAUGAAAUCAUUUUGAAGCAAUUAAAGACGAUUUUCAUCUGCAAAAACCACAAAAUAUAUCAUGCCUCAGGUAAAUAACAAUGUCGUGGAAAAGGUAAAAUUUCCUUAACUAACAGUACUCAAAGAUGGUCAAUUUGACCGUAUAAUUCGAUGCUCACCUGAGCAUCUUCCAUUUGCAUUGCAAUCUUUCCCAUCUUCUUGAGCAAAGGCGCAACUAGCAAGGACUUAAGAUCUUCACCUGCCUCGUGAAUAAUUUGAUCCUCUCCGACCAAAGAAACACUUGUAGUGGUGGUACAAAGCAGAAACUGAUCCUGAGCCUUUCUCGAAGCUAGCAAUUCAAAACCCUUGAGGUACAACCCUUGCUCGUCAGAGCUAAGAGUAGACCAAAACUGAUGCAAUGCUGAAAGUUUCCUCUGCUUUGCAAAGGAGUGCAACCCACAAAUAGAAAAUACGAUAUUUUGUGCAAUGAGAUUGUUUGCUGCCUCAUCGCUAAGUUCUGUCCUGAGUUGACUUACAAAAGACACCGCUAAUAAGAAAAGUCUACUUGGAUUGACCAGAAAUAGUGCUCCACUCUUUAUCGUUUCAUUAUUUGUUCUUCCAGCCUCUGACGCCGCAGCAAAGUAUAAAGCUACUAGCCGAUUCGAGAUGCGCCGCAACCACAUGUGCGGAUGAAGCAAGGACUUACAAAUCAACGCCCAUAAGUCCUGAAAAUAUCAAAAAGAUUGCUGUUAACUAGCUAAUAUAGUUAAUGACACAAUUUGCCAAAAUGUGCUACACACAGCACUUUCAUGCAUUUAAUGUCAUAAGUUGAGUGCUUUAUCAUACAUAUUAUUGAUGCCGAAGAGAGAACUCGUACCUCGAAUUUCCUGUCAAAAUACAUUUCGGGAAAAUGUUGUAGUAUCUUCUCGAGCAUAACAAGUGAAUAAUAAGCCUCCUUGUAAAAUGGAACGCCAGCUUCAUUUGAAAAGUCAAGCUCUACAUCGCUAGAAGCAAGAAUAGAAGAUUCCAGAAUGUGUUUUGCAACUGAUAAUACUCUAUUUAUAUGCUUGUUGAAUCCUUUUUUGAGAACUUCAACCAGCAAACCAAGGACCUGGGAAAUAACAACGAAGAGUUAUUUUGUUGUUACAGAUCAAAGGAGAUAGUGAAAGAGAAACAAAAACCCCACAUUCUAAUUACACGAACUGCAACCAAAAACAUUCUUUAACAUUUCAUAAAGUAUAGAGCAACCACUCUUACAACGCAAACUUCAACCAAAAACAUAGAUUAACAUUUUAUAUAGUAUAGAGCAACCGGCCAAUCAGAACCAAAAAAAAACUUGCGAGAGUACUCCAAAUUAAUAAAGGGCAGUAAGGAAGACCGUCUUUAUGAAAAAAGAGCCUUAGAAAGCCACUUGCAUACCAUGUCAUGAACGAAAAAAAAAAAAAGGCUGACAGAAAAGCCAACACACACACACACACACACACACACAGUUUGCCCCAUUUGGCAGAAAGUACUACAUAAAGUCGAGCAAAAAAGUUGUAAAUUCAAUAGAAUAUGUUGGGGGUUUGGGGCUUAUAUAUAAAUCAAUAGGUAGUGAAUUUCCAACUGUAGGAAAAGCUCAAAUCAUGCCUUAGCCAUAUACACACAAUACAGUAAGAAUGCAAGUACGCAACACAGUAGAAUGCCACAACAAAUGAAGGUUACCUGAGCUGCAGCACUCCAUAGCUGUUGUUUCUCACCAGAUAGCUGUUGUUUCUCACCAGUGUACCAAGCAAGACUAUACUCGAGAAUAGGAUCCAACGCACGCGGAUUAGCUCUUAGAUGGCAAAGGCGACCUAUCAACACUUUUAUCACCGUGCCAACCAUAGAUUGGACUUUAUGUUCAUGAUCAUUGGCCAGAGAAAGAACCAGACGAACAAAGAAUGUCUGAGCCUGAUUCUCAAUGAGACUUUCAGGAGAUUUAACCAGGAGAGCAUGGAUCAUCUCAAGCACAGCUUCUCUCCCCGAUGAAUGUUCAUAACUGAAAAUUUGAAAAAAGAAAACAAAAUUAGGUGACAAAAGAAAACAAACUUACUAUUAAAAGAGAGCAUGUGGUGAGAUACAAACCUCAAAUUUGUGAGUAGAAAAUCCAUGUGCUGUUGUAAGCGCUUGUUGGAAAGCUCAUAAUCCAACAGAAACUGCAGUAGAAUUUGGCUGGACUUCUUGCGUAUGGCUUCUGAUUGACUAGUUACCAUCAAUUCUGAAACUUUCACCACAAUAUCAUAGAUUUCGGGGACAACUAAUUUUCUACUAACAAUCGACUUCAAGAGAGAGAGGGCAAUAGGUGAAGGGUUAGUCUCCAGAUCAACAAAAACAGGGAACUGAAUAAGCAUGUGGAGCUGAUUGUUAGAAAGUGAGAUCCUGCAGCUUUGUAGUAAAUUCGUGAGCAGCUUGAGACAGGAUUGCAACAAAGUAUUUUUAGAAUUUCCAUAUUUCCGAGCUAUGUCAAAAAGUAUAUUCUUCAUCUUCUCGGCCUGGGCUUCGAGGGACGGUAAUGGCAACCUAAUCAAUGUAGCAAGACAUCUAAUAGCAGAUGAAAGGACAUCUUCAUACUUGGAAUUCAAGCAUUCUCCGAAAAGUUUAACAAAAGGGUCUAACAUUGAUAGCAACUGCUCGUCUUUCUUGUCCAGCUUCAUUUUCUUUAACCUGUUGCGCAAUAAUCCAAGGGAAAACUCGGUGAUCAGAUGUGAAUUUCGCAAACCAUUAUCACCAAGCACCAAAAAAGUUGUUCUGUUGCUAAUUUCAUCGCUGGAUGCCUCUUUGCCAUUGGAACUCUGUUCAGUAACAGUAUCUUCAAUUAGUCCAUAUGCAAAUACAAACAACUCCUUAUUUCCUGCGGAUGGGUUACAUUCAAUUCCCAAAGCUAUAUAAUUAAGCAUCAUUUCCAGCCUUUUCUUCAUCUUUGGUGUCAGGUGUUUCUGAAGGUGUGCCGCGAUGGGCCAAAGCAACUUCAGAGCAUGCGUUCUAAAUGUAAUACUUUGAGCGAUCAACUUCAGAGUCUCAAACGACUUCUUCUUCCUCGUCUCUUUCAUUUUGGAAGCAAUUUUGUCGACUUCUUUCUCCUCCGCGACAUCUCCAAGAAUGUCGCUUUCAACUACAGAGAUAAGCUCCGCCAAACAGUAGUCAAUCUUUCCAGUAGAGCCUUCUGUUAGGGUCUUUGAUAAUAUGAAAUUGAGGGUGUAGCCCAACACAUGUAACUCAUACCCCCUCUUCAAUAUAGCUUGCAAAAUCUUUACAACAAGCUGCAAAUACUCCACACCCAGUUCCUUCAGACAUGCAGCCAAAGCAGACCUAGCUUCGUCACGGAUGCUUUCUAGACGGUUUUUCAAGAAAUUACAAAUGCGGUGUAUAAUGCUUGAAAGUUGUGAAUCCAAAAUAUCUGUCGGUAAUAAUUUAAGUACUUUGAGUGCCACAAGACUAAUAUUUACAUUAACUUUCUCAGGGUCUGAGACAAGCAAUUUUUGAACCAGAGGAAGAAGCACCUUUUGCAAAUAUUGCUGUUUCUCAGGGGAGACAUUUUGCGAAGAUGAACUACAAAGAUGAAAAUCACCCUCAACUCCACUAUCUUUUACACCAUUAUUAGAGUGGGAGUCAAAGAAAUGGAAGACAUGUAAGACGGCACAUAUCAGUCGCAAAAGGAUUUUCUGUUUGUCUUGCUUAACAGACAGCUCUCGGAAGCAUCUCAUCAGAAUAGUACGAUAGGACUCCCACUGAAGCUGGCCUGCUACAGAAGCAAGGGUCUCUACACAUGCAUUUCUUAGAUGUUCACCCUUUCCAUCUUUCACAUCAAACAGCAUGUUGAAAAACAGUGGCACAAAGAUUUUCAUAGUCAAGUCCUACAAUCCAGCAAAGUAGUCAACAUUAAUGCCAUACAAUGGCUAAUCAUACCUAUAUCUAUUUUCUUUUCAGAAUGCAAAAAUGAUAGAGAUGCAAAAAACUUAAAAGAGUCCGAAAUUAUAUUUUCAAGAUUUGAAAGCACAUUAAAAUAUCAAAUUCAUCUACAUUUGCCCAAAGAUGAGUAUUAUGAUCAGGUAAAAUUAGUCCAUAGCACUGGAAAAGAAAAUAUACUAGUCCAUAGAAUACCAGGAAACACAAAUGACAAGUCAUUGAUUUCCAUAAAAAAAUACAAGAAUUCCUGUUGUAAUCUAUUAACAACACUUUAUAAUGAAUGUAUGGCUGUAUGAAUCUGAAUUCAGGUAUAGAUAUCAUACUGCUGUAAAGUUAUUAUGUUAUAUGAUGAUAUUCCAAGUAUGUGGCAGUAGAAUCUAAAUUCUGAUAAAGCAAUUCACUAGCACAACCGGGUAAUAAAACUAAACCUGGAAAGAUUAAAGCCAGAAAGUUGUAGAGGGAAACUAAUUUAAAUGGUGAUAUUGUCUACUAUAAUAAACUAUAUACAUAAAAAAAAAAAGCAUGAACAUCAUUUCUCUUCCUCUCUUUAAUCCCAAAGUCUUGUCCUUAUAAUCAUGUUUGUUUACCUCUGAAAAGUUCCCAGCAGUGAUUACAUUCCUGAAUCGUGAUAACGCUCUUGAUCUUCUAUGAAUCUGCAUGAAGAGAAAAUUAGAAUAAAAGCUUCAGUUUGUAUGUCGCCCAUAAAUGAAAUAGUCAAUAAGAAUUACCUGUAAAUGAGUUAUGUUGUUGAAGAAGUCUACUUCAGGAUCUGUGCUACAGAGAGGUUUGAAUGAACUUAGAGAUGGAACUUGUUCAAAAUUAAACACCAUUUCUCGCAGUAAAGUAAUCCAUUCCUGCAAAAUACAGCCCACUUAUUAGUUACAAAACAAAUAGUGAAACAUAAAAGUCAAGCGGCGAAUAUUAUAACCAGACUAUGGUCGCUGCAUACUUUUUGAAUUGAAAUGUCCUUGCUCAUAGCAUCUCCCAUGCUAUGCAAAUAGGUCUUCUCUAGAAUUCUCUGAAUGGAAGCUUUUGUCCAAAUGCUGCUAAUAAUACUUUCCGCUGACCCUAAAAUUGAUGUAGCAAACUGUAGAAAAGAAUGUAAUGCCCUCGAUGCACUUUGUCGAAAGAUCAGUUCUUCCGAAGACAUAUCCCAUACACAAUGAGAUAGUAUGGCCACAGCAUGCUCUUCUCUCAAUUCAGGAAAUAACUCAUGCCUUACUGUAUCAUACGCUUUAAUUCUUGCGUCAUAAUCUAGUUCACCAAGUUCUGAGGAAGAAACUGCAUUUAGAUCUCGUAAAAGUGUAGCCUGAACCAGUACAUGUCACCAAAUAAACAAAAUUUAGAAUCUUUAAAGAAUUAUUUGCAAGGAUAGAAGUAAUAUUAACAAUAUUAGUCAUGUGUAGAGCUAUAAUCACCAGGAAGGCAUACGAAGGAUCACGUAAAGCAAGACCGUCGAGAAUAUCACAAAUGCACAACCGCAAACCUAGUUCAGCGGUAACAAGUAAUGGGUGAAUUGCUUGUAGGACUUUUCCAAAUGCUUCAUGACCUAAUACUGCAACAAUUCCUUUGACAACUUGUAGACCCUCCAAACAUUCAUCUGUAAUAAAAAUUCCAAAAACAACAAUAAAAAAAAGGGAGAACCACCAUAAUCUAUCAUCAAUACUUAAUAGUUCAUUUCAAAAAAAAUAAUCAGAAAGAAAAAUCUUCAAAUAACAUGAAGGUGGAAACUAGAUGGCCUUACCAGAAUUUAAAUCUUUCUUCCUUAAAAAUGGAAGUAAAAUAUCAAGAAAAUAAUCUGCUGACACAGGGUCCCUGAUAUACUUCACUAAUAGUUUGAAUAUCCUCAAUUCCCUCUGCCCCGGCCAAAUGGUGGAUUUCCUAUGACCAUCACCAAGAAAAUGAGUGGACCAAAAUUUGGAAAAUCGAAAUUAAAGUUAGAAAAAAAAAAUACUUAAAACAGUAAGUCUUAACAUUAGAUAUUAUUUCAAAACAUUUCAUUGGGAAAAACAGGGCAAAAGAAAGAAAUUAUUUCAAAACAUUUUAUUGGGAAGAAUAGAGCAAAAGAAAGAAAAUUUAUUAAUAAUUAAAAAGCAGAUUGACACAUAAUUGAAUCACAACCAAAACGAAUUCCACAUGAUGAAUUUUUCAAUAAAUUUGUUGUUAAUAAAACUUUAGAUAAUUUAAGCAAAAGCUCUAAAAUAAUAACAAUCAAAUAAUAAAAGCCAAAGACACAUAACUGAGGAAUAUAACUAGCUAAAUCAGGAAAAGAAGCAUUAAGAUAAUUGGAAACUUUUGACAAUCUUAAAUGAACUUUUAGCAGAUACCUAUGAAAUUCUCUGCGAGUCUGGUAGAGGUCACGGAAACUACUAACAAGAACCUCAACAUGAGGCUCUAAAAUCCUCUUGACAGUAUCACUCCCCUCGCUAUCCAAAUCUUUAUCUAGCUUCAACAAAUUUUCAAUGAAAUCAAGAACAGAAGAUAGGAUAGCAUCGGAUGCUGUCCUCACAGUUAAGAUAGAGAAUAUUGCUGAGAUAAGAUUAGUCUCCCUCCCUAACAGAGGGACUAGUGUUGGGCUCUGGCUCAUUGCGAUAAAGCAUGAAAAAAGUGAGCUUGGUUUUUCACUACUUGCACCCUCCUGCUUGAAGUUGUCGAGUAAAGGCUUCACUGAAGUGAAAAAGAUGUGCCAAAACUCUGAGCUGAAGUCAUGAGUGUCGUGCUUAUUAAGAGUGGAAGAAAUUACUUUCAGGCACAGGGACCGCAGAUCCUUGACCUGGUCAUUGGAUAUAUUAAUCUGCACAUCAGAAAUAGCUUUCAAAUGUAGGAAAAUAACAAUUCAUCGGAAAAGAAAAAGAAGUGAAAAUUAUCUAGAGCGGCCCAAAAGGUAAAAUUAGCACAUGAAAAUGGUAACAAAUGGAUGCCAUGCACGGCCAUCGCUAUCUAAAAAAGAAAGGUAAUUGAAUUAAGAGGAGAAAUGCAAGACAAAUGGCUAAACUUAACCAAACCAAAUCUGAUAAGUUUCAAUUCAAAUAAUAUUUUGGCUCAGUUCAUUGCAUUUGCAAAUGGAAAAACGCAUUAUGUAAAUUAGCUAAGUUCUUUAUUUUCUAGGCCAUAGGUGACUCUGUUUGUUCAUUAUCUUUGGUGUCCACCAGCAUUACAUACUGCACCAUAUAGCCAGCAUAUGUGUUAUAACUACAAUAGAUAAACAAAAUAUUACAAGGAUUCCAUGACUACUCUGAAAUAACAAGUUUUAAAAUAAAAAGGAAAAAGCAUAUUAAGUUUUGAAGAAAGAAAAUAACAUAUACCAUUAGAGAGCCUGGUGCCAAAGUAUUGUCCUUGUGAACCUCUAAAUUUCCAGAAUUAUCUCCCCUGGGAUAAGUGUUACCACUGUUUUUGCUUGCCAGGUUCCACUUGCACAUUUCCAGAAUUCGAACAACAAUCAUCAAAAAAGGAUUAAGAAAUGGCCCAACAUGCAUCAGAUCAAAAGUUCCCAAGAUAUCCUCAACUACAUGGAGGAACCCAUCUAUUCUUUUCCACGAAAUAUCAUCUGUUGUAGUUAAGGUUGCAACUUUUGCAAUAUAUGAUAAAAACUUGUCUAUAAAAUUGUCAAACAUGCUGGUAGUCAGGGAAUCUGAAACUUCAAUAAGGAGGGACCUGGGAACUAAGGGCUUCAGCAGCAAAUAAAAGAAGAGCUGCAGCUCGUUUACAUCAAACUGUGAGAAAAAACGAAGAAUCGCCUUUCGAUGACUAACACCUGCAUGCUAAGAAAAUAUUGAAACACCAAAAAGGAAAAGUCAGUUAUCAAAUAAACAGAACAAGAAACUUUACCGCCAACCAACAAUUAACGCCUGUUUGGCCAGGCUUCGGAAGCAGAUAAUCUAUACUAAGGAGCAGCCAGACAUUGUCAAACGCAGAAAGCUUUAAACGAGGUUUGAGACCAAAGGGCAAAAGCUCCAAUUUGAAACUUCUACUGCAAAUGCAAUAGAAAACUGCUGGGGGGAUCUUAAUGUAAAAGCUAUUAAUGCUUUCCGUGAAUAACCGAAACAGCACCAAUACUGAAGCUCCAACCAGGCCAAACAAACCUAAUUAUAAUGAGCUUAUCGUGUGAAGAGCAAAGAGACCAACCUUCCGUGAGCCAAGUGUCUUCAGUUUCCUAACUUUAGGAGUAAGUACUCGAAUAAUUAAAGAAACUAAAUGGCCUCUGUAAUCUUCCUGAAUGGACUGAAGGUCUUUUGAAACUGCCCAUGUAGUAAGCUCUUCUCGAAGGUUCUUUGCAAUAACAAGAUUUUUAAGAUGCUGUUCAUAUGGGACCAAAAAGUCAUCCUUCCAGUUCAAUAGGCAAUCAAGAACUUUCAGUUGUACAUCAGGAUCUGUCUCAUCAAGGAGCCUAAAAGGACUCGGAAGGAAAAAACUUAGCACAAUUACAUGAAAUAUUUAUAAGUAUAUUAAAUUGCAAUCUUAAUAUCGCUUUUACAAACCUUAUCAUUAAAACUUCCUUAAGGACUUUGUUGCAAUACAAAGAUCGAGCAUUGCGCAUCAGUCUCAACAAGUUCAGCCAUUCUUUAAGAACCAUCCUCCAAUCCUUUCCCUUGCAUUUCUCCGAUAUAUAAGAUUCGACACUGUAAAAUAAUCAGAGAAGGCAUGAGCAAAUUAACUGCAUUUAAAACUCAUUUACUCCUUAAAAAAUUGAAGAAAAUUAUACCUUAUAGCAUCUUCAUCAGUAUAACCCAUGAAAUUUAGGAACAAUGGUAUAAGCUGUCGUGAGCGAGAUUCUGCAAUUUCAGGUAUCUUUUGAAGUGAUUGCAGCAAUGAGACAGUAACCGUCAUGCAUGGAGUGCAAUCAGAAUCAGGAACAAGGUAUAAGUCGAAGCACUCAAAGAGAGCUGAAAGAACAAGAAGACGAAUUUGUUACUAUUAUAUAGCUCAUAAAAAACAGAAGUAUUCUUUCUACUAUAAAUCAGUUUACCACCUUCUAAACAUAGUCUCUCUCGAAAUUAACCAUGCAUAAUUAGACAAUAUUCUUAAAAUUAAAUACAAAUUAUAUCACAUAUUGGUAGAGAGGCCACUUUCUCUAAUGUCUAACAACAAAGCAAGCAAGCUCAAUCCCACUUGGGCCACUUCAAGUAAAUGGCAUAUUCUUAUCCCACCUCAAGUAAAUGGCAUAUUCUUUCUAUACCAGAAGAGAUGAGAGAAGUAAGAAAAACCCUAUGCGAAGUAAGCAAUUUAGAAAUCCCUAUGUGCAGCCCAACGCCCAACAAUAUCCGCAAAUGAAACCAACUCAUGUAAAUAAUCUCCAUUAACUGGAAUAGCACCAUGAACUUGAGCAAUUCUGAGAGAUAUUAACCCCUAGGCAGGGAUGCGAAUUCUGAAAUGCCAAACAUUAACUAACACACUACAAAAAAGCAUGCAGCAAAACAUGCAUUCACACACUUGGAAACUCCAAACCCCACCCUUCCAUCCCCACCCCCUUUUUCUAGAUAAGAAAAAAAAUGCAAAAUUUCUAAUCUACUGAACAGAGGAGAACCAUUAAGUUGGUACCAGACAGUAGGAAACCUAUCAGAGAAAAAUGAACUGAAGACAGUGCAAAAAUGUAGCAAGGCGUUAUUGAGGAUAAUGUCUGAACUAAUGCAUAUCCAUUGAUCCAUCGUGUUAUCAAACACACUAAUGCAGCAUUUAUGGAAACUACCCUUUUUUUCUUUCACAUAUUUACCUAUGUCCUGCAGGAGCUUUCUUCAGCUGUGCGGAAGAUAAUCUCUAAACUAACACAUAUCUAUUGAUAACUGGUGCAAUUAGGCAUACUAAUGCAGCAUUAAGUAGACUACUUUUUGUACAUAGUUUAUGUUCUCCGGGAACAUUUCUUCAGCUGCGUAGCACAUAAAAUAGUUUUUACAAAUCCUUUAUCCUAAAGGAAAUUAGCACAGAAUAUAUAAGAGUAAAAAAUAGCAAAUCCAUUACGCAGCAUGCAGAGAUUAUGGCCCUUACAAAUUGGUUGAGGAGCUUCUCUAUUCAGCUUCAUCAGGUGAUCUUCAGAGGAUAAAGAUUUUGACUGAAGAGUUCCAAGAUACUGGAUAAAUCUAUUCCAAACAAGAUCCUUGUAUUUGCUGAUUAGAAGAGCCAAGCAUUCCAAUGCAGGCUUCCAAAGGCUGCUAAGUCUAUUGUAUAAUAUGCCUAUAAUCCCAUUUAAAAGAAGAGGUAUGUAGUCGUUAUUGAUCUUCCCAAAAUAAAGGCUCGUCUGUAUUCUGGAAAUUAGUAUUGUGAUACUCCGAUCUGUAGAGGUUGAAAGAGGGAGUGACUCAACCUGAAGGAGGAGCUCAACAACCUAUUCAUUUGACAAAUGUUAGAUUUUAUUAGAAAGUUUGAUGAACCAAUAUAAUAACAGAAACAACAAGACCAUACAUUAGUGUGUUUAGCAUCUUCUUUCCCUGAUCCUGAAUCUUCUGUUUUCAGCUUUUUAUUAGGAGGUUCAUCACCUGUAGGCAACUGUUGCUCCAAAGGUGCAUAAUGGGACAAAAUUCUCAACGUCGAAACACGAACUUCCUUAUUUGGCAUGCUCAAGUUGUCAGCAAAUGUGCAAAAAGAGUCCAAAGCAUUCUGCACAUCGAAUUCCUGUAGUACGCUCUGCGAAGAGAAUUUUUCACUGCAUGAAGGCGAUUAGGAAAAGUUAAUUUUUAACUAGAACGGACAAAAAAAAUUCACUCAAAGUGUAAAUAGCUAUACCCUAGCACAGAGUCCCAAAAGUCGGCGACAGCAGAAAGCACAUGUGGAGAUGUCCUGUAUUUUUUAGCCAGAGACAGGAAGAGACUUCUUUCCAGGCUUCCAAGAUUGCUGACCAUUAACAAUUUACGAAAUGAUGUCAACGCCACACCAAUUAAACUUUGCCAAGUGGAUCUUGAAAGGCCCCCAAUGCUAUCUAAAACAUAAUAAAAAAAUAAUGGACUAGUUGUUAUUUUCUCGCCAGGAGAGAGAUUUUCUGAUGAAGAACAAGAGAAAAAUACAAAACUGAACUACAGUGCAUUUUGCAAUUGGAACCUGAACUUUAAAAUUUAACUUCAGUGCCUAAGCCAAGAAUUUAAGUGUUGUGGCACAAGAUCAUGCCGGAAACUUGCCGGCCCGGUGCAUGCCGGGUUGUACCGAUGCAUACGGGCCACGAAAAAUACACGUGUGCCGACACAUAAUGGCAUGAAAUAUUUAUUUUCUUUAGCAACAAAAUAUUCUAACUAUUUAUUAUAUAUUUUUAUCAAAUCUUUUGAACUUUAUUGAGAAAAUUACUCACUAAUUUAAAUAAUAGAGGGUUUUGAGCUAUGCCAUCGGUAUGGGGUUGUAUCGUGCUAAUAUUUUGUUGGCACAAUACAGCACAGUGGAUACCGCCCAUUUCGAUGGACACUUAAAUCCUUGGCCUAAGCUUAUAGUUAAUUCCAGUUAAAAAAAUUCCAUUAGAUUCUGCUAGAAGUCAAUGUUUCCCACCAAAAAAAAAGAGGUGCAGGAUAUUUAGUAAACUAACAGAAUAUUCAUCCGGUUACACAAUAUUCCGUCAGAAAGUUGUACUUAAAUCAAAUAACUGUAAAGUUACAUACUUCAGAAGUCUUACAAAUCAAGUAAGGAUCUGCAAUUUUUCAACUUAAGCCUUAAGCACAUAAAGCAUCAAAAACUGAUAGGUACCUGUACCACCUUCUGCUUGCAGAAGACAAUCAAGUUGGGCAAUAAGAUUCUUUAUUGACCAUAAAUCAUCUUUUAGAUUUUGGAAAUGAGGAUAGCAGCUGAGAACUCCCCAGAGUAUUCCCGCUUCUGAUACACUAACUUGAAUAUCUGCUCGAUUGCCACUUGCUUCAACACCAUUUAAUAACUCGUUCCACUGACAAAGUUUCAUCUUAAAGAAGCGGCAUAGUUUCUUUACCUUAUCUUCAGGCUCCCUGAUUAUGCUAUCACUCCCUUGUCUUUCAAAAAAUGUCAAAAGGACAAAAAGAACUUCUUCUGGCGAAGCUUCAACAAAAUUAUCCAUGGCACUACAAGCCCAAAAUCACGACUUUAUUAUCAUUAAAACAUAUAACCAUGGCAUCUAAAUAAAUAGAAGCAGUCAAUCGAUUACCUCAUAAUGUGACUACUGAAAACAUGUAAUAUUUGAGGAUCUUUUGUAAGAAGUUCCCUGACAAAAGUGACGAGGCUGAAACAAACGCAUAAUUCCCAGUCAAGGCAUAGAAGACACAUGAGCAAUUUAUUACAAAUCAAUGUGUUAAUGCAUGUUUGGCCUAGCUUUUGGAUUUACCAAGAAAGUAGAGGUUAGGUGUUUGGGAAACAAGCUACAUUUUAGAGCAUCUAUUUCUCCCACCGUUUGGCUUAGCUUUUAAAAUAACUUCUCUACUAAGCUCCAUUUUAGAUCAACUGUUUCUGCCAAGGAAGAUUUCAAGGAAUAAUGGCGGAGCUUUCAAUGCUUUCAUAACAGCUCUAUCAAAUCAAACAGCACUACUGCAAAAGCUCCAAAGGCCAAAUAGGCCCCAACUAGCAUAGCAUGUUCAAAUACUUAGACAAACUUAAAAAGUUACCUUGAGCUUCUCAACUGAAAUGCCGGAGUAUAUAAUAGUGAUAUUCGCAUUAAAUCAGUAGAAAUGAGAGGAACAUCCAGAAGGCAAAGCAUUAGCCCCAAAAUACUGCUAACAACCUCAGAAAACUUAUUCUCCAACUCUCUAGCAUCAGCAGCCAUCAUAUACUUUUCUAUGAGCAAUUGGACAAGCCGAAACAUGGUUUCAGUAUCUGCAAAAACACAAGGCACGAAAAGUUCAAAAACUGACCAAAAACCACAAAACAAAAACAACAGAAAGGGAACCAAGAAAGGAUUAUUACCAAGAACUUGCUUCCUACUGCUUUUCUGAACAGCAAACUUAAGAAGGCCCAACAUUUCAUUAAGAUGUUCCGAGCAGCCAUCAUCGAUGCAGUUGAAAGUUUCUUUUAAUAAGCAAUUAUACAUCAAUUUCAAUUCUUUUUGAUCCACUUCACGACAUAGUCUGGAGACUAAUCCAGUUCUAACCUCAUAAACAGCUUCUGAGCCUGCAAAAGAUUUAAAACAUCUUAAACAUAAGCAAACAUAAAUAAAUGGCGACUUUUUCAUAUUGUUGCAAAAAUGCUUGUUUAAUUUAGCAACAUUAUCUCCACUUCCUACGCUGGUAAAUCAUUUUCAAUUUACAUUCCAAUUCGUGGUGGGUUCUCAAUCCAGAUUGCACAAAGUGGCAAAGCCAAGAAUAGUAAAGAAGUUUCUAGAUCUAUUUGUUAGGUUAGAUUAAACAAAUUAGUUUAACAAGAUAGAAUAACAGAAAAGAGUCAAACCUAUAUGUCAAAAGAAAGAGCCAGGUUUAAUUAGAAGAGAGAACACCUAAUCCUACCUUAACGAAAAGGAAAGAAACUAUAAGAGUAACAAAGGUAACUUAUUGAUUUUUUAUUUUUCUAUAUAUGUUGAUCCAUAUUGACGUUCUGAACAAACCACAUUCCCAAAAAAAGCGUUCUGACAAAUCCAACCCCCUCGUACUGCAUUACCAAGAAACUAGCAUACUACCUUCACAUACCCAUAUCAUGUACCACAGCGUACCUUGUUCCAGGUAACAUUAUGUCAACCUCCAAUAAUAUAAGUCAAAUCACAACAUUAAGAAUAUAUAAACAGUAAAAAGAAAAGUUACCUUGAGGAAAUUUAUGAAUAAGUUCAAGAAUGAACUUAUCAAUUAGAAACCUAAACACUUUUUCAGCCCUUGAGUGAAGCCUUGAGGAAGUCCCUUUCAUGACAUGCCAUAACAAAGCCGUGACUCCACCUUUUCUUGCCGGAGAUGGAGUUUUAGCAACCUCCUUUACAACCUUCGUUAAGCCUAUAGAAAAUCAGAGGGGGGAAAAAUUCUUCAAGUGAAAAAUGUAAAAAAUCCACACAAAAAGUUCAUUAAUAGCUCAGUCAAGUUGAUUAAUGUAAAUUUAUUCUUCCAAUAUUAACAGUUGCCAUGCAAUGCAUUAAAAAAUGACUAUAGGAAGUGUCAGGAAUGAUUGUGUUCCUAAUUACACGUGCAUGGACUAGUGAUUAGAAAGUCCACAGAAACCCAAGAAAUAGGCAAAAUACAUAAAAAGGAAAAGAUAUCCUGAGAGCCCAAAAUAAUGAUUUUCAGAUAAAAAUAAUUUGGGGGCUUACUUUCUACAAUACUAGGGCAUGCACGCAUGCAGAAAAGAAUCUACUAAUACACAGCAUAAGCAAUAACUGUACAUCAACAAUGAUGAGCUACAUAUACAUAUUAGGCUAUUUACUCUAACAAAUUACUUUCAUUUCUCAGGCAUUGUCUCCACAUGUUAUAUCCAACAAAACAGAUCAUAUUCCCAAAAGUGAUCAAAAGAAAUUACCUUUAUAGAGUUGAUUAAUGGGUGAAUUCCUCAGCACAAAUGAAACAGCUUCGGCCAUGAAUUCUCGAACAUAAUCCUUGGGGUAAAAUCUUAAUUGAGCUGUAAUUCUUGAAUGAAGAAAUAGAAGGAUAAAUACAUAAUCUCAGUCAACAGUAGAAGGGGAGGUUUCAUAUCAAGGAAAACUAUAAUCGGAUGUAGAACAAAAAUUAAUGAAUAUUUGUGAAGAAUCGCAAACACAUAAUCGGUCCACACUCUUCUGUCCAUAUAAUACCAAGUAUGAAUAUCAAAUCUUCAGUAACAUAAUAACGGUAUACUUACAUCAGAAUGUGCUGAACAUCUUUAACAAGAUACUUUUGUAGAUACAUCAUGAUGUAUGACCAAGAUGUGAAGACCUGGAAUUAAACAAUAUCUUGGAGUUUAAAAUACACCAAGGCAUCAGAAAAUAUUACAAAUUACAAGUGCUACAUGAAAUACCUGCUCCAAAACUUCAGGAUCACGAUCUCCACCAUUAGUAAGAAGAUCUACUAAGGAGUUGGUGAGCCUUUGCAACAAACUAUAGAGAAGAAAACCAAUCAGAAUUAUUUAGCAAAUUAGUGAGCGUUCAUCUGUUAAUCUUGAUAUAGUAUUAUGAUUUUUUUAGUUUUUCUAAGCAGACCAAAGAGGACGAAUAAAGAAACUUCCGGAAUGCAUACUAGCCAACAUGGCAAGGGAAAGGGCAAAUAUGCAUUCGGCCGCUAAAUAAAAUGGCAAAUUUUAAGAUCAAAAAAAAGGAAAACUUACGGCAGGAACUCUUCAAGGACAUCUCUGGAGAAAGAAGCAAUUAACCUGUUCAGGCAACAUAUUGCUUAGGCUUUUGCUGUGAUCGAUUUAAAAGCAGUUCCCCAAGAGUAACAGCGAAUAGCCAAAACAGACAACGUAGAAUGCAUUGAGCAAACAAAUACAGGAACUUUUUUUCUUUUUGUUCAGGGAUGGCACAAAGAAUUACAAAGAUUGGUAGCUGAAUUUUCAUUUCUUUUUACAUUCUUCUGGACAGUAAAUGGAACCAUAUAUGGCACUCCAACAUUAGAGAUGACUUUAAGAAACUAGCACUACUUUAAUUUCCAAUGGAGCUUCAUAAUGUGGAUCCGAAGCGAUAAAAACUUGCUCAAAGUUGCCAAACCAACGGAAGUUGGGUUAAUUUCUAAAAUGUUGAACAAUUCAACAGGUUUAUACAAUCCAAAGACACAAAAACUUGCUGAAAGUUGGAAAACCAACAGAAGUUGGGUUCAUUGCAAGAAUGUUGAGCAAAGUAAUGUUUGUAGAGUUAUUCGUAACCAAAAUAAACCAAAUGGGAUUAGUACUUGUCAGGCUAAUCGAAGUGACUGGAAGUUCAUUUAGUUUGCACUAUUAUACAGAACAAAAGACGAAAAAAAAAAAAUCAUGUUACGAAUUGUUUUACUACCCACUAAAUUGAGGCAAAUGAAUACAAAGCACAGCUUACUUCCAUCAAACAAAACAGGAAGAAAUUUAGUAUUUAUUCAACAUUAGAAACUGUACAGCAAAAUGCAACAUGAUGUGACAUUGAAUUAUGAUUCUGAAUGCUUUCAAUCAUCAAAAUUUGUUAUACAAAAAAUAUGACUGUGAACUCACUGACAUUAGUAUUGGCUCAAGAGACAAUCUUGCUUUCAUGUUCAAUCUCUUAAGCAGCUCCGAGAAAAUCAGUUCUCGAUGCAGUAUAAUCUGAGGCAGUGUCUGUACCAAUGGCAUCAUCUUCUCAUAAAAUGAUAUAAAAUCUUCUGCAGUAUUUAGUUCCUGCAAUUAAAGUAAAACCAAGAAAAAUAUAUAAAUUAGCAUUCGUUUCAAACCAGUUCCAAAAACAAUAAGAAUAACGUAAAAAUAUUGAACUAUGUUGCAUUUUGAAUAUGACCCUUUGAAGUUUAGAUUUAACCACCUAAUGAGUAAAUUACACCACGGGUCGGUGAGCUUAUCGUGAAUUUUCAUUCAGGUAGACAAACUUCAAAGUGCAAUUUCUGUUUAAAUUAGAUCUGUCCACCUACUUUUUUAAUUUCCGUAACAAAUAUGUGAUAAAAUAGCUAAUUCAGAAGCCAAAAGAUGGCACGAUAAUGACUCGUCAGUUGAUUCAGCUGCUAUAAAUCAGCAACCACGUCAUCUGAGGGAGAUGAACUACUAAUCAUGCCAUUAUUAGGAGGUGACGCGAGAGCUGAAUUAGCCAUCACUUUGUCCUGCUGUCCGAAAAUUAAUAUGCCGUCCAACAAAGUAAACAAAAUUUAAAAUUUGUUGCCUCAAUUGAAACAAAUAGAAGCUCGGUGAUUAAAGUGAAACUUCACCAUAAGUCCAUUGACCACUUCCAAAUUAAAAGCGCCCAUAACCACGUAACAAAAUAUUCCAUCAGAUUACAAAAUAUUGCAUCACAAAGUAUUCAGUAGUGAAAUCAAAACCUUUAAAGCUCAGGUACAUAACUACAUAUUCAAAGAUCAGAACAUGCUAUAAGAUUGAGCAUCAAAAUCAAAACUUUUUAAAUUCCAAUACAAAUUGCAACGUGCUUACUCGCCACUGCAAGAGGCUCUCGCGAAAGAAGGAGGACCCGCUCGAGGGCUCCAAUUUUACGGGCUCCAAGCUGCGGAACACAUCGAUGUCGAUCUCCUCCACGCGCUGGUAGAAGCUCUUGAACUACAAUUCGAUCACAAAAACCACAAGAAGCAGGAGAUUAGAAGCCGCAUCCGAAUCGAUCGUAGAAGGGGGAAAUUAGGGUUUGCUGAGGAGCUUACGACGAAGCGCUUCCCCCCGGUGGAUGUGUUGAGGCACUUCACCGCGUGCGACUGUGCGGUCGCCAUGAGAGAGAGAGAGAGAGAGGGAGAGAGAGAGAGAGCUCGGGGUGUUUGGGCGAAAGAGGGGUCGCGGGAGGAGAAAGAAGAAGAAGAAGGGUUUAAUAAGGGUUUUGAUGCGGUAGCUUUUAGCCGAUCUCCACCGUCCGUUGAUGUACUUGGACGGUGGAUCGGUGAUCUCCGCAUGCGACGCGGUUGGGUCGGUUUUUUGCGAUGUUUCACUCCUUAAUGUUCGCGUUAAACGGUUAGAUUGGCUUGGAUCCGAGAUGAUUUCGGGUUGAACUCGACCCAACUUUUAACGGGCCCGGUCCAAGUUUCUGGACAAUAUUCCAAUCUUUUCAUUUAAUUAAAAACUCAAAAAAAUAAAAAAUAAAAAUAAAAAUAAAAAAGAGUAAAAGUCUAGCAUAUAAUUAUAUUUAUGUUAAAAAAAAACACGAAUUAUUAUUUAGGACAUAAUAGGCAAAUCAAAUCAACCUUUUAUUUACAAAAUAAAUUUUAUCAAAUUAAAUGCAUCUAUCUGUGGAUGUAGUGGGCUAAGGCCCGUGCCCCAACUUGGCCCAAUUUGGUCCAAUCCUAGUCCAGGAAACUUGGGCCCAACAUUUAUUAUUGCCUACACCUGGUGCAACAAACCAGCCCGUGCACCAUUUUUAAUCCCGGCCGUCCAUUCACUCUCACAUUUGCAAUCCAACCAUCGAACUUAUCCUGAUCUUCAAAUUCCAGAAAGGUCUAGUGUGACAGAAAAGAGAGAGAAAUUAUCACCCACAUCGAUGGAGCACAUCAGCCAUCGGAUCAUUGGCUCUUACCAUUAAUCUCAAAAGUUUACACGGUUAGAAAUAUACGACCAAUUCACUUAUAGUGUAUGGGCGCAACACCUACUGGUCUCGAUUGUGAGUCGGCCCAACCAAUCUUAUGCCACUUUGACCAUGGCUCGACCCAACCAGACUUCACGCAAUUUCGAACGUAACCCGAUCUAGUCUGGCCUCCAACCACAGAGUAGAAUGCUGGUCCAUUUAAACCAACAAAUCACAGUCGGCAAUGCACCAUGCUUGCACUUUUCUUUCGGUCGACUCUCAUAAUCUCCGUGCACGGUGCAACUGUCGAAGUCAAAAUUACUUUCUACCUAUCACAUUUUCUUAAAACUUUUAGCAGUCGAGAUGGGGGCUGCGGUGCACAACUGACGUGGUGCGCGCAUAGAUGAUUCUCUAGUCCAAAGUCGAACUCUGGCCGCCGCCGAGCAGAGAAAAUCUCUUUCUUCCUUUUAAUUUUGAAACUUACUUGGUCAGACACGAAUCAAUUCGCGAAUCAUAGAUUUGGUUCGAGCUGGGGUGUGGUUACUAGAACUAAAAAACUUGAGCCUGAUUUUGUUAAAUAUAAAAAUGUUUAAACGUCGUUCUCUAAAAAUUUAAGCUUUUAGAGCACAACAGUUGUUUCAUAUGGUAUCAGAGCAGAAGGUUCUGAGUUCGAGUCAUUCAAGCCCACGUCAUGAGCCGACUAAAAAGUCUCGAGCCCGGACAUUUAAACACCGUUCUCUAAAAGAUUAAGCUUUUAGAGCACAACCGUUGUUUCACAGAUUUUGGCCAGGCCUGUUUACACGCCACCUUCAUCAGAGCUGGGUGUUUGUUCGUUUUAUAAUCUACGCAAUAGUUUAUGUUUUGAGCUCACGCAUGGUUUUGAAUGUACCUAGCAAAAUACGACGUGUACAAAACCAACUCAAUUCAUUUGUCAUCUUUUUUAUGUUUUAUGUCAAUGUCAAUGUCAAUGUUAAUGUUACUUCAUUAGAAAUAAACAUCGAUACCGACCGUUCCUAGAGCAAGUGGCAAAGGACUUGGUGGUUGGUACCAGAGACCCAAGUUCGAAUUCUAGUUGAUUCACAUUUCCAGCUAAGUUUAUUUCUAAAUGAAAUAAACAAAGUUGAUAGCGACCUAUCUCUCUCAAAAAAAAAAGAAGAAAUAAACAUUGAUCCUACUAUUUAGUUUCACGAUGCAACAACAAAGAAAAAAAAAAGAAAAGACAAGGAAAAAGAAGAAAAAAAAAAGAACCAGAGUAGAAAACGUUCUUGUGAAUUAAGUGGUAUUAGCAUUAGAGUUACUUGUAACUGAAAGCAAAAGCAGAAACAAGGCCGAACAGUUUUGAAUUUAUUACAAGCAUUAUUUAUUUCUUUAGAUUUUUGUUAAAGUUGUUUUUAAAUAUAUAUUAAAUUACAAAAUAAUGUGGACAAUUUGGCGUUAGAGUUUUUAUAAAAACGUGAGUCAACCAAACUGGAUAGAAAAUCUAGCUGAACUCCACAAAUUUUACAGUCGGCGUAGAAAAUUUUUAAAAAGUCAUAACUUUUCGCUCCAAUAUCCGUUUUCAGCAUACAACCCAAUUUGAAAAACACCUUUUCAGAUCCACGUGUUGAAAAAUAAAGCCAUUCUACCCAAAUUUGGGAUUCAAAUUCAACUGUGUAGUCCUCCAUUUUUUACAUUUUUAGGUUACUUUUGGAAAUUUUCAUAUUUUUUUUAUUUUUAGUUCAAUUAUUUAAUUAUUUCUUAUCAAUUUAGAUUUACAGAUACAUUAGAAUUUAUUACCUUCAAUUUUAGUAGAACUGGGUACCGAUCAUAUAUAUAUAUAUAUAUAAAUACACGAUGUUCAGUUAAUAUAAUCAACUUUUAGAGUUUAUUAACAGCAUUUUCGUCUUUGUCAAAAAAUAUAUUGUUUUUUGUGUAUCUAUCUUUUUAUUCUCGGCUUCUCCUCUUUCAAUGUGAAUUACGCCUGCGUCGCAAAAGAACUUCAAAAGAUGGUUGAGUAUUGCUUUUAAAAGCUUUUCUAAGAGAACAUAUAAAAUGAUAUUAUCAAUAGCAGGAAAAAGUUUAAAAUUAUUCAAAAAAUUGUAUUUGGAAUAUAAAUUUAUUUAAAAUAUAUAUAAAUAAAAUGUUUUGUAAAAUAAAGAUAUGAAAGCGGGGAUAGCUCAGUUGGGAGAGCGUCAGACUGAAGAUCUGAAGGUCGCGUGUUCGAUCCACGCUCACCGCAAAAAAUGUUUAAAAUUUUAAUUUUUUUUCCUUAAUAGAUUUUGCAGGAAAUGUUAAAGUAAUUUGUAGAUUUAUUCCAAAACAUUUAGGUAGCAAAAUUAUUUUAAAUCUUUCGAAAUUAUUUUAAGUUUUCUUUGAAUAAUUUGUGAAUUUUUUAAAUACUUUUCUCCAAAACUUUAGGCAGGAAAAAUAAAGUUAACUUGUAGAUUUAUUUCAAAACAUUUAGAUAGAAAAACUUUUUUUUUUUGACUAAUUGCUGAAUUUUUAAACUAUAUUUUUCCCCGAUACUUGAAACUAUUAAAGGUAAUUUGUAGAAAAGUAUUUAAAAAAUUCACAAAUUGGAAAUAAAUCUACAAAUAACAUUAGUAUUUCCUGCAUAAAAUGAUGUUACCUUCUAUAGUGAAGAAGUAUUAGGGAAAAACUUUUUUUUUUUGACUAAUUGCUGAAUUUUUAAACUAUAUUUUUCCCCGAUACUUGAAACUAUUAAAGGUAAUUUGUAGAUUUAUUUCAAACAUUAAGGUAGCAAGAUUAAUUUAAUUCUUUUGUAGAAUAGUUUCUAAAUUUUUAAAAUAUUUUUUCCCUAAUACUUCUUCACUAUAGAAGGUAACAUCAUUUUAUGCAGGAAAUACUAAUGUUAUUUGUAGAUUUAUUUCCAAAUAGAAAUUGUUUUAUCUGUUUUUUUUUUUUAUUUGGGUGUUUCUCAUGUUAUUUAUUCUUGCUACGCACUUGUGGUGUUAUGUUCUUUUCCGCAUGAAAUGAUUUUUUCUAAAUUAUAUAUUUUUUUGACUUGUUUCUCUAAUUUUUGAAUGUAUUUUCUUCCUAGUUACCGUUAAAAAGAGAUUAAUUUAGAAUAGGAAGAAAAAUAGAAUGUUAGCUUUGAAGGGCGUGUUUGUUUCGUUGGAUCUUCGGUGCAGAAGUUCCUUACCUUGCUGCAUCGUGAGACGAAAAUAUUUAGAGGAAACUGGGGAAGAGCAAUUGGAUUCGUACGAUCUAUGAGUACCUGUCCCGACUUCGUGUACUACGUGGGAGGCAACUUCAUUCCCUACCACGGUGAAGUUAUAUAAGAUCGGAUAUAUGGCAGGAACUCGCAACUUCUGACCUCUUCCAUUCCAAGCAAAACAAACACGCCCUAAGCGUGACCAAAUGCUUCGUUAAUCUAAAAAUUUUAUUUAUAUAUAGAAAAUAAAAAUUCUAGAACUUUCCAUCACAUAAUAGCAUCUUCUACUAUUUUUUUUUUCACUAAAAGAAAUAUCAUUAAAAAUACUCUAAAAUUAGAUAGUAAAACUACAAAUUUCAAAGCACUCAUUUUAAAGUACAACAUUACUCACGCAGAGUAAGUUAAAGUUAGAUACAUUUUUACCUUCACAUAAUAUAAGGCAUUUUUAUACCCAUAUAUAUAUAUAUAUAUACACACACACACUUGUAUAUGUGUAUAUGCAUACAUGUAUUCAUCAUCUAUUCCUCAUUAUUUGUAUUAUUAAUUUAAAGUUUAGAAAAGGUUGUUCAAUUAAAUUAGUAGAAUAUAUAAAAAUUGUUUCCGAAGUUCGAGAUUAAACGACCAAAAUAACCAUAACCAAGUACAAUUAAUCCAAAAAUCCAUGUAAAGUGUACUAAAAAACCAUACUAAUAUAUUCCAAACAAUUUUGACCAAGUUGACCCAUUGAGACCUACAAAAUUACCUCGGGGUAAUUACCAUUUAAUCCUCCACACAACCUUUAAAAGAGUAAAUUUCUUAAGGUCAAUGCACUUUUACUAUAGUAAAAUAAGAAAGUAAUUUAAGUGAUCCAAACUUUAUAUUUUCGCUUAUAAGCCGUCUCUCAAAUUCGCUUACAUCGCGACAAUUCUAUAGAAACCUAUAAUCAGCGAGUCAAAUAUUUGAUUUGAUUGAGAUUUUGUUGUUCAUAGUCGAGAAAGUUGAGCCAAACAAGUUCACGAACAAUUUACAUCAGAGAGAAAUUUUUUUUCUAUAUUUGGCCGUCAGGCUUAUACUGUUUUUCUCUUAUAGCUUUAGUUGAUAACCAGCAUUUUUUAUCGUCUUUCGAUGACACGGACAAAAAUAAUAAUUAAGAACAUUUAAAUAAAUCACGAGAUGGUGAGCCCCACAUAUUGGAUGAUCAGAUUCUUAUUAUGUAUAAGCGACAAAAAAGAUUAUAGGACCACAUUAGCUUUGUUGAUUCACCCAACCAAAAAAAAGGGAAAAAGAAAAAAAAAAAAAGAAAAAAAAAAAGAGCCUUGUACAUGGACUCAUAUUUUCUAGGAGACAAACUCCUCAAAAACAAACACUAAUCAUGAACUAAUCACGUGAUUACUACUCUGAGCCCCAGUGGUUCCACUUCUAAGUUAUAUUAAAAUAUGAACUGGCUAGCUACUACACUAUCGGUAUCACUGAGACCUCCGCAUUAUCAAAUUACUUUUAAUGAUGUGACUUUCGAAUCAACGAUCGGCUAUGUUAAACUUAAUAUACACUUUUCAAACUAUUUGAAAAUUAAAUUUUAUAAUUUUUCGACAAUAUUUAGCUAGUGAUCAAAAGGUCUCAAAAUUGAUUAUUUUAAUGGUCGAUGUUAUGCGUUUGUAAACUUAACAGUGUAAAACAAUCUAAAUCUGAUGAAAUUUUAAUAAAAAAUUCUUUUCGCUAUUUAGAGUAAGUUUAAUUCCUCUGAUUUUAAAUUCAACUCUUUUGUCAUUAUUUUUUAUAAAAUUUUUAUUUUGAAUCAUUCAUUUUAGACGAUUCGUUUGAUAGGUAAAUAAUGUCAAAAAAUUACAAAAUUUAGUUUGCAAAUACUUUUAAUAGUGUAGAUCAAGUCUAACAGAGCAGAUCGUCGACUUGAAAGCCGCAUUAUUGAAAACAACUCAGUUGCCGAUAGUACAGCAGCCGAUCUCUUUAAUUAUUUAUCAUAGUGGAAAGAGUAGUGUCAUAUAAAUUUUACACUUUUUUAUUCAAUGGCCUAUAUUGGUCUUUUGUCUUAUCAAAGUUAUUAUAUAUUAUUACUUUCAAAUACUAAAACUUUAAAAAAUUUUCAAAAGUAAAAUAUUAUAGUCAUCCGUAAAUUUCAUUAAAAAUCGAAUAUUAUAUCAACUAUAAGAAUUAAAAUCAGUAUUUCUAGUAAUUAAAGCCAUUAGAUGGUUAAUAACAAAUUCUAAUUAAUCAUAGUAAUUGGAAAUAAAAACGAUUUAAUGUACCCAAAAAAAAAAAGAAAAACAAACAAUUGGGGACUAGAGUACCAAUUUAGAAUAAUCUAUAGUGUAGGGGUCUCCAUGCAUUUUAAACGAUGGAAAAAUAUUCCUAAUGAUUAAUUGACCAAAGUUAUGGCGCCAUGGCAAAAGCAUACGAAAAAUGCGAUGUUCCCUCGCAUUUGUCACACCAUUUUUACACACAUUAUGCAAUCAUUUACCAUGUGGGGGACACUCUCAAAACCGAAGCACAACAAGUUGCCUCUUUUUUCCUUUUUUUUUCCUUAAAUUAUUAUUGUUAUUAUUCUUUUUUCUCUAUCACUUUUUCACCUUUUUAGAAAACAAUGUAAUUAAUCCACACCCGGUCAACUACAUCCCAAAGUCAUAGAUCUCUAUUAAAAAAAAAAAAAAAAAAAAACCAACAACUCUACUAUGUAUUAAAGAAUAAAAAAGUCUCUCUCUCUCUCUCUCUCUCUCUAUAUAUAUAUAUAUAAAGAAAAACUUCAAAUACUCCCUGUGGUUUCGCACUUUUUCACUUUAGUAUCCUAUGGUUUAAUAUUUCGUUAAAUUAUAUAUCCCGAAAUGGAUAAUAAAAAGAGAAAAUUGAAGCCACAGAGUACUAACUUGAUACAAAAAUAAAAUCACAGAGUACUAACUUGAUACACUUGAAAUCACAGGAUAUUAAAGUGAGAAAGUGCGAAACCACAUGGGAGGUAUUUGAAGUUUUCCCAUAUAUAAAAUGAGGAACAUAACUAUCUCACAAUGUAAUUAAUUUAGAUUAUUUAAAUGUUAAUGUGUUGCUGAAGUGGAAGUGUGGAACUAAUAUGGUAUUUUAAUUGUUAUCGCGUCAUUAAUCGUAAUACUAUUAUAUCACAUUUAUAUUGGAUUAAUGUAGCAUUUAAUUGCAAUAAUUCUACAAGUUUGAGUCGAAAAUAGUCAUUAAUUUAGGUUUGAGAACCAAAAGACAUAUUAAGUUUAAGUCGUGCUAGUCUAUUAUCAGCAGUAAACGGCUCGAUUUACUACCGAUUUAUUUUUUCAAUAUAGAGUUUCUAAAUCAAUGAUUCAUACCGUUGAAUAUGAUUUAGACAUUCAAAAUAUCUGAAAAUUAAAUUUCAUGCAUUUUCUAUAUUGUUUACUUGUGCAUUAAGUGGAUAAAAUGUGAAUGACUGAGAAUAAAUAUUCUUCAAAAUGUGAUGAUAUAAUUUUUAUAUUCAAAAUUUAGAAUCUAGAUCUUAUUUUAAAUAUUUUUUUUAAAAAAAACGAGCAAACGCACCGUAUCUGCCAUUCAAAUUGCAAAUUUUGUGACCAUUUAAUCAUUCAGUUAGUAAUAUCGAAAAAACACAAAAUUUAAUUCCUAAAUAAUUUAAAUGAUCUAAAUUAUAUUCAACUGUGUCGAUUAUUAAUUUUUGAAAAUUUUAUCAUUGAAAAUAAAUCGAUAGUAACCACAAUGAAUUUAUAUACGCGCCUCUCUCUCUCUCUCUCUCUCUCUCUCUCUCUCUCUCUCUCUGUUCACGUGAUUUAGGCCCCUCCGCACGCAGCAGGUGGGAACCAUAAUUUCGCGCUGUUUUUCAUUCUCUCUUUCUACAAAAGAUGUGGGGACGUGGACAUGUGUGUGUAGUAAACACAAGUAGAAAAGAGGUUGCCAAAGAUCACGGCUCCAUCGUGAGGGUGGCGUGGGUCCCACCUGUCGCCCGGAUCUGCUCACCAUCUGUACCCGUUGCUGAUAUAUUGACAUGCUGAUAUCUAACAUAUAAUUUGAUAUUACCGACCGUCCCUACAGCAAGUGACAAAGGGCUUGAUGGUUGGUACUCGAGACCCAAGUUCGAAUCCCAGUUGAUUCACAUUUCUAGCUAAGUUUAUUUCUAAAUAAAAUAAACGAAGCGGGUAGCGUGCUAUCUAUCUCUCUCUCGAAAAAAAAAAACAUAUAAUUUGAUAUUUACGGUAUAUAUCAACUUAUCAGCUGACAUAAAGGAUAUAAUUACUAACCUAUCUGAAACGUAUUCUUAUAAACUGUAAUAUUGUAAAUUGCAAUUGUCAGAUGCAUCACCUAAUACUGUAUAAACGUAUUUGAAUAUAGGAUUAAUUUCAUACAGAUCCCUGCAGAUAUAGUACGUGAAUGAUAAAUAUAUUUUUAUAAAGUUCAACUUUUAUAUAUUGUCUCUAUAAAAAUCCUGAUAUUUUCAAAUAUGUCCCCACAUCUAUAAAUUUGAAUAUAUUGUUUAUCUUUUAAUGUCUUGUUAAGAUACUUCAUAUUAUUUUCGCAACUAUAAAUUUAUUAAAGUAAUAAUUAACUUAAAUUUUAAAAUUAAAAUAUUAUUAACUGAUUCAAAUCAAAUACAUUAAAAGAUUAAAUCGUGAAAAUUAAGAUUUUGAAUAGCUGAAUAAUCAAUCUAAAAUGGUUCACAGAUCAAAUAAGUUCUGUACGUUUUUUUUCAUGUGUAUAAAAAAUAAUCUCCUUUGCAAUGAGAUCUUGUUAAGCUCACCUGGAGAGUGAGCAGAUCCCAGCAGAAAAGCAAAUUCCCGCUUCUGGGGUGAGCAGCUGCUGCUGCUGCUGCUGCUGGAAGCUGUAAAUGGCUUGUAGUGAGAAGAAGCAGGCAUUGAAUUAAUUAAUUGAUUAAUUAUUUAAUAAAUGCUCAGAUAUAUAUGACUUGGGAUAGAACACUAUUAAUAGUAUUUGCUCCGUUUUGCCAUCAAAUUUUUAGUUUUGGAUAAAUUCAUUUGAUCAUUUCUAACCAUUGGAUUAAAUAUUAUAACCUAGUGGGGACCAAUCAACUCUAGGAGAACCACUCGACUCUAAACGACUAAUAUCAUCCUAACCCUAUAAUUUCUAAGCCAAGAGUUAAAAACUUGUUAGCAAGCCAAAAUGGACCAAAUACUAUCAAUAGUAUUUCAUCCCAAUUAUAUAUAUAUAUAUAUAUAGAGAGAGAGAGAGAGAGAGAGAGAGAGAGAGAGAGAGAGAGAGAGAGAGAGAGAGAGACAGAGAGUCUGGCUACUAUACUCUUAUGAGUAUAGGCUCCUUUAUACUCAUAAAUUUUCGGUCAUUAGAUCUAUUGCUUUGACCAUUUUCAUCCGUUAGAUUAUACUAUUCAAUCAACCACCCAUUCAACCCUAAAGGACCACUAUUAACCUAACUUAAGACCACUGUAAUCCUAACAACACAUCUCUUCAUCCAACGGUCGAAAAUUUUAGAGUACAAAGAGGCCUAUACUUAUAAAAGUAUAGUAGCCCUAACAUAUAUAUAUAUAUAUAUAUAGAGAGAGAGAGAGAGAGAUCGGUUGGGCUAGAAUACUAUUGAUAGCAAAAAGCCUUUUUUGCUAUCAAGUUUUUAGCCUUUGGAUUAAUUUCAUUCAUCAUUUCUAACCAUUAGAUUAAAUAUUAUAACCCAGUGAAAACCACUCAAAUAUAUAUAUAUAUAUAUAUAUAUAUAGUGUUAAUUUUAUACAGGUCUCUGAAUUAUAAAUAUAUUCCUAUAAAAUUCAACUUUCAUAUGUCGUCCUUACAAAAGUUCUAAUAUUUUCCAAUACGUCCCUUUAGUAUAUUACUGUUAAAAUACUAUUUAUUUAAUAAGUGAAAUUACUUUUUUGCCAUCACAAAUAUAUCCCUUCAAAAAUCUAAAUUAUUAAUUAAAGAGGAAUAAAAAGAUUAAUUCAUCAUAUUAACUAACUAGGAUUAAGUAUUUUACCUAUGAUUAACUAAUUUUUUCUAACAAAUACUAACGGUAAAAAUAUAUUUAAAAAUAUCAUGAUUUUUACAGAGACAACAUAUGAAAGUUGAACUUUGUAGGAAUGUAUUUGUAAUUUACUAUGUUUGUAGGGACUUGUAUGAAAUUAAUCCAUAUUUGUAUAUGUAGUGAAUGUAAAAUGUAAAUGGGGAAGAGGUUAAAAAAAGAAAGAGAAGAGAAGAGAACAAAUGUUCAGAGUUAAAAAAGAGAUGGAUUCUCUGCAGGGUUAGGGCUUAGACAAAUAGAAGGGAAGGGAAUGUUGCUUUCCUAGAAAUACUCACAAACAUGGUUUUUUUUAAAAAAUGGGAAAAAAAAUAAUGUAUGGAGAAGAAAUUUCUAGGAAAUAGCAGGACAAAAAGGACAUCUCUUUGCUACGCGAGCGCCACGUGACAUUUUUAAGUUGAAUACGAUGAUCGAAUCAUCGUGUUUAAACACGGUAAUUAAAUCACCGUAUUUAUAUCCAUAUUCUAUUUCUUUUUAUUUAACUUACAGGCAAUAAAAAAUUAUAAAAAUAAAUGCAGUGGCCAAUUACUGUGUUUAAAUAUGGUGUUCCAAUUAACAUAUUCAAUUUAAAAACUCCAUCUUACCGCUCAUGUAGCAAAAAAAAAAGGCUAUUUAUGUAAAUAUAAAUUUGUUAGGACUAUAUGUAAAGAAAAAAUUGAAGGGGUUAUGAAAUAAGAGCCUAUCACAUCUUUAAAUAUCUAAUUUUAUUAUAUAAUUUUUUUAUUUAUUUAAUUUGAGCCAAUUAAUGAUUCUUUAACUUCAUUUAGUUCUGUUGAUUUAGUUAGUAUAUUUUAUGUAAUUUAUAUAACUAUUAAUUUAUGAAAAGAGAUAAUUAACUAAAAUUUUGUAUAUAAAGAGCCAUCAAAAUAUUUAAAUUGAAUAAAUUAAAAGGUUGGGUAUUAAAAUUGAAAUUUUAAAGGUAGGAUAGUUGAAUGAAAAUAAUUUAUAGUUUAUGAUAAAUUUUAUAUAUUUUUACCUUCUCUUGUUACAUAAAUUACAUAAAUGUCCAUGAUUUGGAUAGAGAAAUAAUUGAAAUUCGUAGUUAUUUGCUUUUUGUGACUUAUUUUUAGAAAAAGGUAGUGAAAAAAUUAGCAUGCUAUUUUCCACUUUAUUUAUAUUUAUAUUUAUUUUUAUAUAAAUAAAUUUAAUUGAAAAUACGAAAUAACUAAAUUUCCAAAUUGGGACAUGAGAUACCAACUAUCAAUUUUUUUUACCACUUGCGCUAAGAACGGUCAUUGUUUUUUGCGACUUUAGUUUUAAUUUUUUCUGUAAAAGAUUAUACUUAGGUUCGAUUCUUACUCCUUAGACAUGAAAUUUUUUUCUCUCCAAGAAAAUGUAUCCGAAUACAUUUAAAAUGAUUCAUACAUAUAAGUAAGAUUUCUUAUACUUCAGCUAUAGAGACUUUCAUAUACGUUGUGCUAUGUAUACGAUCUGAUAUCGCACUUUCUGUGAUUGUCACAAACAGAUCUCAAUCUAAUCAUACUCUCUCUCUCUCUCUCUCUCUCUCUAUAUAUAUAUAUAUAUUAGGAAAAACUUCAAAUACCAUCACUAUGGUUUCGCACUUUCUCAUUUUAGUAUCCUAUAGUUUAAAAUGUAUCACCUUUAUAUCCUGUGAUUUUAUUUUUCUCAUUUUGUUAUAUCCUUUACUAAUUUUUUUUCGUUAAAUCAGCGACAAUGUUAAAACUAAAAGAUAUUAAAGUAAAUAUUCCAUAAACGGAGGGGCCGAUGAAAAGAGAAAAAUGAAACCACAGGUACUAAAUUAACACACUUUAAACCACAAAAUACUAAAAUGAGAAAAGAGGAAACCGCAAGAGUGGUGUUUAAAGUUUACUCUAUAUUUAUUAUAUAUUAUUACUAACUCACCCACUCUGCCGAUUCCUCGUCGUUUUUCUCAUCCCGCGGCGCGGAGCGGAGCGUCACUUACGGGGUGCGUUAAACUAUUAACGUGGCAAUUUACAGUGAUCCCCCUUACGCAUUAGUAGUUUUGAAACACAACCUUAACACUUUUUUUUUUUUUUUUUGGCUCGUGUGGUCUAGCUCAUUUUACUUUACAAUUUUGUAACUUAAAAAAUUACACUUAACUACUCAUGUGGUCUAGCUUAAUUUACUUUACAAUUUUGUGACUUGAAAAGUUACACUUAACUACUCUAUGUUUAACUUUUUUUUACUGAAAAAAACUAUUGUCAAAUUAAAAAUUAUAAAAUAAUACUAAUAUUUAACAAUAGAUUUUACAAUAAAAUAGCAGAAUAAUUAAGUGUAAGUUCUCGAGGCAUAGUUUAAUAUAAUAUUUUCAUCUAUAGAAUGAUAAAAUAAAAAUACGCUGUACUAUAGAAGAAAAAUUACAGCUUACCAUUUUUUUAAUAAUUACUAACUAAUCUCGUGAUUAAUAUAUAAUUAACUGACAAUAAUCGAGGAGUAUCUUCUACUCAGUUUAAAAAAAAGCAACUCUAAUCUCAAAUCCAAAAAAUUAAAGAAAGAAAUUUUAAUUAUCAUUUCAAUACCUCAAACUUUUGAGUUUGUAACUUAGUUAGAUUACUAAAUUCAAAAUAGUAUAUAAUUGGGGGGUGUCCGUGCAUAAUUACCAUCACUAUUUUAACGGAAAAAGGUCCGUUACGAUGGGAGUGGUUGUAACUUGUAAAUAUAAGAGAACUAAAGAAGCGGAGUGAAAAAAGGGGUAAUUAAAAAAAAAGGAAAAAAGAAAAAAAAAAAGGAAAUCGAGUUCCCGCCUCUGCGCUCUUCUUGAAUCGUCCAAAGAGUGAGAGAGUGUAGAAAGGGACGAGGAGAGAGAGAGAGGGAGAGAGAGAGAGAGAGAUGGAGAGGAGAGAGAGGGGGGAGUAGAGAGAGAGAGAGAGAGAGAGAGAGAGAGUGAGAGAGAGAGAGGGAGAUGUGGGGGAGCUCCGGGAGCUUUGGGGGCGAUCGCGGCGGAGAUGGACACCCCCGAGCGGAGCACGGUCGGAGCGGCGGCGAUCUCCAAGUUCGAGGUGAUUCAUCUCUGGUUUCUUGGGGUUUAUCCCGAAUUUGAGCGAUUUUGGAGGGUUUUGGUGUUUUGGUCGUGAUUUGGAAUAGGUGAAGGGGUUUCGGGGGUUUCUGGGGGGGUUUGGAUGAGGGUUAGGGCGUGAAUUUGUCGGAGCCGCUUUGAUCUCCGAGUUUGAGGUGAUAUGUCCCUCGUUUCUUGAGUUUUAUCUGGAAAUUAGGCGAUUUUUUAAGGGUUUUGAUGUUUUUGGUUGUGAUCUGAAGUGUGGUGAAGGGGUUUCGAGGGGUGUGGUGGUGGUUUGGGGAUUGAAUUCGUCGGAGCUGCGUCGAUCUCUAAGUUCGAGCUCAUCUAUCCCCUGUUUCUUUGGUUUUAUCUCGAAUUUGGGCGAUUUUUUAAGGGUUUUGAUGUUUUUGACUGCGAUCUGGUUUGUAGUGGAGGGGUUUUGGGGGGUUCGCGUUGGAGGGGGUUGGGUUCAGAGGACGACCGGGGCUUGAAUUUUUCGAAACUGUGGCGAUCUCCUAGUUUGGGGUGAUUUAUGCCUUGUUUCUUGGGCUUUAUUGAGAAUUUAGGCGAUUUUUUUAAGGGUUUUGUUUUUUUUGGUUGUGAUUUUGGCGUGAGGCAGGGCUUUCAGGGUUUUGGGAGUUUAGAGGAGGAUUAGGGCUUGAAUUCGUCGGAUCGUGUACAAUUUUUGGGGAUCAGAAGAUCUUCUUGUAGAAUUUGUGCUGAAUCUUUAACUUGUGUUCAAUCUCUUGGUCUCUGGCUCUUUAGCCGGUUUUUACAGUUAUUUUCAUGAAAAAGGUUGGUUUUUCUUUUCGGUAGGGUAAGGUUUUGCUACCGAUAACAGUGGGAUUAUAAUCCUGUUUUGGGAAAUCUUAGUGUUUUCUCAUGUGUAUUCUCAGACAAGCUAAUUUCAGCGAAUUUUGUUGGUGAUCUUUGUUUUCUCUUUGGAUCAGUUGCUUACUGUUUCAUCGAUCUAUUGGAUCUAUUAGAUAACAUGGUAUCAUAGCCGGUCCUAUGCCCUUUUAGUUUCAAGAUGUCAUAGGUUCAUUUCCCACAUCUUCCAUUAUUGGGAUGAUUCCAGUUUGUUAUUCUGGUACCUCCUUUUUUUCGGUGCUGGGGCAUGGUUAUCCCGAUUCAUGUAAUCAGGGGGUGUUAAGAUUAUUCUUAGGCUUUUCCCUAUCAGAUCGAUCUGCUAGGUAACAAUUUUUGCCCCUAAGGCAUGAUUUGACCAAGAAUAGAAUCUAUGCCGAUCCAUAGUAUGCUACUACUCUAUCUUCAAGAUCCUCUCAAUUUUCUUGUGAAUCUGGUAAUUAAUACCAUGGUGAUGGAAAUUUAGUGGCUUAAUAGCAGGAAUGCGAGAUUUGACUUUAAUAAUUUAUAAUUUUAUCAUGUAGGGUAAUUUUGUCUGAUAGUUUGCUAAUUCGCCCAAUGUUGGAUUUUGAAGCACUGCUGUUAGUCAACUAUUCAGUUUUUGCUUGAUUUUGUCUUGCUGUCAGUCAAAAGUCUUUAAACAAAUCUUACUCAGAGACAAUAUUUUGUGUGUUUCCUGGUGUCUAUGGAGUUGAACGAGUGACAAGUUUCAGGCCUUACAUUUUAUCAGGACAUAUAAUUCUCCUUUGCAUUAGAUACAAAUUGUGGAUCCAGUCAUUAAAUGUGUGUGGAAAUGUGUGCUAAAAUCGAUUCUUCAUGGAUUUUGUAUUCAUUUCUUUGAAAUUCCUAAUUUAAUUUUUUUUUUAAAAACCAUAAGAGUUCAUUGUGUUUUGAGGAAAGAUAGAAUUUACUGUUAAGUGCUUAUUUCUUGUCUAACAUAGUCUAAUUUAGAUAGAAUAUACAUAAUAAUGUACAUUAAUUUUCGGUUGGAUAAUGAUCAACUUCAUUGUGCAUGAUAUGUAGCUGGUGUGCGUAAGAAACUGUUUUUUGCCAUUGCAGGAUUCUCCAGUCUUCAACUUCAUCAAUAGUUUAUCUCCUAUCCAGAUGGUUAAAUCAAUAGAUUCAGUACAGAGCAUACAAGCUUACCAAUCUUUGAAUUUUGCAUCUAUUCCCUCCAUCUUUACUUCACCACAUGCCAAUACCCAAAAAGACUCUAAAUUGUCAGCAAGGUAACUUUUGACUCGCUUCUUCUUGGUUCUAACAUUGGUGAUUUAGCUCACUUUGCUCUUCAUCCUACCAGGAAUCCUUUUAAAGAACUUUCGGAACAAGAGACUAGUAGUGUAACAUGUUUACUUAAUGAAGCGUUAGUUGAUCCUCCUGAUGACUCGUCAAUUGUGCCUACCAAUUUGCCUCAGCCUUUGCAAUUUGAUGGUGGCAGUCCAAAUCAUAGUACUACACCUCGCCAUGGUGCCAAAACAGAUCACGUACAAAGCAAUCUUAACCUUUUUCAAAGUAGUCUUGACAAAAGAAAGAGCUUAUUUGCCCCUGAAAGGGAGAUCGGGGAAAAUCAUCCAGCCAAUCAAGAGAAUAAUGAAGUGGUAGGAUUGGAUUGGACGAAUUUGAUGUCCGAUAAUGUUGAUGACCUUUUGAUUUAUAACCUUUCAAUUGAAGUGGAUAUUUGCAGAGCUGUGGAUGGAAAGCAAGGGCUCGGUGAUGUUAAUUACAGUGAUUUUUUCUCAUCAAAGUAUGCAGGGGAGAUUAAUGAUUCACAGAAAACACAACCUGAUGUGCUUUCUGCUCCUUGUGUCCAAAAUGUUACUGAGAAUCCUCAUGUGCUUUGUGAUGAAAUGUUUGGAAAGGAAGAUGAUAUGGAUCAUACCCCAGAAAUUCUCUCCGGUGGUCCUAACCAGGUUGUUCCAAUUGAUCACAUCCAGGAGAAUUUGAAUGAAGCCAGCGAUUGUAUUCCAUUAGGCUACAAGGUAUAUCACUUACAUCCAUGCAUACUUUGUUCUAAAUUAACAUAAUUAUACGUAGGGGCCUUACUACCACUUUAAUAAAAUGUUUAUGUUGCCAAAUCAUGCGACUAAUCUGACAGCUAUCUUUAGGUUGAUUCCCAACAACAACGUGGCAUGCGGAGGCGCUGUUUGGUUUUUGAAGCAGCUGGGCUUUCGAAGAAGAACACAGGCAAUGUGAAACCUCGUUCUGCAAUCUCAAUAACAUCCAAGGGCAAAAUGGCUUCUUAUGAUAGCCACUUAAAUCCUCUGAAAACUCCAUCACCACGUGUCUUACCUGGUAUUGGUUUACAUUUGAAUGCUCUUGCAACAACUUCAAAAGAUAGAAUGGUCACACAGGAUACUUUAGCUUCUGGAAAACAACUAAUAAGCAUGCCAUGCACUAUUGGUUCCUUUGUUUCAACUGGGCAGAAAACAGAAAGUAAGUCUCAGCCUGUUGCAAAGGAUUUUGUUCAUACUGGUAGUGAAUUUCAAGAGCCUCAAGUUAUGAACAAUGAGACUUCACCGCCAACUGUGCUCGAAAAUGCUGAGGAGUCCAGCCCCAAGAAGAAGAGGUAUACAUUUUGUCCUCAUGGAAUGCUGAAUAUAAUUUUCAGAUGUCUGGUUCGGGUCUCGUUGCCUUCAGUUUAUAGCUAACAGGUAAUAAUUGUGAACCAGGCGCAAGUUAGAAAAUGGUGAAGGUGAAUCAUGCAAGCGUUGCAGCUGUAAGAAGUCAAAGUGCUUGAAGCUGUAAGUUCUUUUCAUUAUUUCACUCAAUACUGGAUUCCUUAAAUAUAUUGUUCUUUGACCAGUAUAAAUCAAUAGUUGAAAAAGAUUUUUCAAAUUCGGAAGCUGUCAUGUAGAUUGUAGAAUUAUCUUUUCAGACCUUUUUUGGAUAAACGGAUGAAAUUAUAUUUUGCUUUUACAAUGCUGGAACCUGUAAAUUUUUACGUGUUUCCUAUUGUUUGUAAGUAGAUUGAGACACGAUUUAUCGUGCAACGUGUGUGUGUAUGUGUGUGUUUCCCAUUGUUUAUAGGUAGAUUAAGAUAACAUGAUUUAUCUUGCAACAUGUGUGUGUUUGUGUGUGUUGGAUAUUAAUUUAAUGAACUAGGAGCUUAGAAGCAAGGAUUCUCAUUAGACAGUAGCUUCCCCUUUCUUCUGUGACAUGUUGCAGGACAAGAAGAAGCAUAUUUUCCAGCUUUUCCUUGUUAAGACUUGCCAAUUGUAUUAUCUAAACUCGUAAUAACUUGUGUACCUGGUGACCUAAAAAUCGUACGGUAAUAAUAUUUCACAGUUGACACACCCAUAAUUUCAGACUAUUACGUUGAUGUGUUAUUUCCUUUUGUCCGGAAGUCUAUGGCUUCAGCUGAAAUUUUAUACUUUUCAUUAAUGACUUUCAUUUCUUUUCUUCAAGUAUAACUUUAGAUAAUUUCUUGUGUUGUUAGAAAAGCAACUAAUUACUGAUUACGUUUAGCUUUUUUGGAACUUGAUCCAUUUUUCCUACUUAUGUUGUUUAACUAAGUGUUUGCUCGCUUGAAAUGUUUUUCAGCCUUUUUCUUAUUACAUUUGCAUGAUCGCAUCAAUUUGAUUCCUGUGCAGUUAUUGUGAGUGUUUUGCUGCGGGGGUCUACUGUUCGGAACCCUGUGCAUGCCAAGGAUGUUUCAAUAAGCCUAUUCAUGAGGAAACCGUUCUUUCUACUCGCAAGCAGAUAGAAUCUCGUAAUCCACUUGCAUUUGCUCCCAAAGUGAUUCGAACGUCUGAAACUGGUCAGGAAUUAGGGGUAUGAAUACCAAUUGAGAUCUUGCAUUCAUCAAGCUGCUUUAUUUCUCUAACCCUCCCUUUGCCUAUUCUGUUCAUGAACUUUCCAUUUUAUUUUUAUGCAGGAAGUUUCUGACAAGACUCCGGCUUCGGCUCGUCAUAAAAGAGGAUGCAAUUGCAAGAAAUCAAGCUGUCUAAAGAAAUACUGCGAGUGCUAUCAGGUUUUGCUUUGUGACUUGCACAAAUUUUUAUUGGACAUUGUAUGUUGUCUGAUAUUGGCAUCAUUUUCUUGACCAAAGGGAGGUGUUGGAUGCUCCAUCAGCUGCAGAUGCGAGGCUUGUAAGAAUGCUUUUGGAAGAAAAGAUGGUGAGUGCUAAGUUGUAGGAUGGCGUUCUUAAUAAGAAAACCUCUAGAUGUAGCCAUUCCUUAUACCUAGAGUUCUUUCACUUCUACCUACUACAGAGUGAAACUGCGUAUUUGGUUCUUCGUUUAGCCAUGCCACUUGGUAGAGUUGAUUCCUCUCCAAUUCUAUUUUGAGCGAUCUCUUUUCCUAUACCAACAUUGUUUAAGCUUUCUGAUCAGUUUAGAAGGUCAUUUGUUUUUGUUUCUCUCAGUGUCCAAUGCUUUCUGAUCAGUUAUGAAAUUUACAAUUUCAUUUUUGUUUCUCUCAUAACCACAGAAUUUACACCAAACAAGUGGAACAAAGAAAUUAAACUUAUAACUUUGUUGAAGUUCCAUAGCAAUCAUGUGUUAUGAUUGCUGUGUUAAUAGAAUUGCUGCUUAUCUUGCUUAUACAGGUUCAACCCCUGGUGGUGCCGAAGAGAUUGAACACGGAGAGGAAGAAAAAGAUGCCCAUGAGAAGAAAGAGGAAAUGCCAGACGAUGGCCAACAAAAUGCUAGUGUCCAAAAUCAUGAAAAUCAUUCGUCAGAAAAUCUUGCCAUCACGCCUUUCAAAGCAUGCAGGUUCAGUGCUGCACGCCUUUUCAUUACACAGUAGUUUGAUUAAUUUCUCAAUUAAGGGUUUUACCUUAGAUAUCCCUGUAAAAUCAUCUAGUUACAUAUAUACCCCUUGUAGAAAUCUUAUUUUUUGUAUAGAUACUUCAAAAAUGCAGUUUCAUUAUGAAAUAAUCUUUUAUCUGAUUCAUCAACAAUACUUUGUUUCUAUUAGAGGAGUUUUCUAAAAAACAGAUUUAUUCUGAGGGUUUAUUUAUAAGGAAAUGUAAUUUUAGGGCAGAAUUACAUUUCCUGAUUUUUCAGGGCAAUAUAUGUAAUUGGAUAAUUUCGUAGGGGGUGCAUAUGCAGAUAUCUCUUUCCAUUAAUAAAUUGCUGAAUCAACUUAAUUUUUCAGACAAUUGGUCAAACUGUCGUACUUCUCAAGCUCAAAGCCGCCAAGACCUUCAGCUCCUACUGGAUAUUUCUCUCGGCUGUAUAACACUCAGGCUCUUCUCAAGUCCGAAGCCAUGCUUCUUUGUAACAAGUUUGAGAACCACGUCAAUAACUUUUGUGAUGACGAUACAGCGAACAUUCUAAAAGAGAAUGGCUCCCCUAGCAAUGUUAUGAAAACCUCUUCACCUAAUGGAAAGAGAAUUUCUCCUUCUAAUGGUGUCGGUUUCUCUCCAAGCCGAAAGGGUGGGCGGAAAUUGAUACUAAGAUCCAUCCCUUCAUUUCCAUCUCUUAGUAAUGUGGAUAGUGAUGAUGCAGUGAAUGAUACCACCAAUUCUUUUAACCCAUCCACACUCACCUGAGGUAUGUCGUGAAUAUUUUCCCAUACACAAUUUCUAUUUAUAGAGGUAAUAUCUUAAUUUUUAUUCUGAAGCAGGUUGUUUAGAAAGCUAGAAGGGUGGAAAGUGUGAGAUCAACCAUUGAUGCACAGUGGCGCACCUUGUGGUCUGAUAAUGCAUCACAAAUGAAGGUUUCUUGGAUGUUCAGAAGCCAAGUUAUUCGUGCAAGGACUGGUAAAGUGUAUUAAGAACUUCUAAUGGUGUUGUAAGAAAUUAAUUCCUAAGUUGUAUCUAUAUGUUGUCUUGUUGCUAGAAUAUUCGUGUGUUCACUUCAUUUUUUCCCCCCCCCAUGUGUAAUGUUUCCUACUCUAGGAAGUUUGUGCAAAGGCUCUUAGUUUCAAUCGAUCAUCAUUUUUCCUUGUUCCCGCUUAUGUUGUCUGAGUUUUUUUUUCUUUUCUUUUUUUAAUAUAAAUAAAACUUCCAUCGUUUCCAUCCAUUACAUAUGUUUUAAGUGUGCAUAACAAAUUACGUAGAAUUUGUGUCGCUUGUGCGAGAGGGCUGUUCUUUCUAUCUCCUCUUUCCUAAUGUUUCAUAAAUUUGGCUUAUGUAAUGAUAUUUGGCGAGUCGCAUUCAUUUUGUUAGGAACAUCUACACAAAUUCUAUUUCUUUGUGCUGUUAUAUUCAUAUUUUGCUGAAAGGAGUCUCCAACAAACAGAAUUCCAAGGACUCAGUUCAAGCUUCUGCAAUUUGUACUUCACGUGGAAUUUCCUUUGGACAAAUUUUUCAGUUUGGUGAUGGUGGUUCCUUUGUUCUAGUCUUUGUGCACCUGAAAUGUAUUUCUUAUUUUUGUGACUAUGGAACUCGCGAAUGAUUUAAGCCUCAUGUGGCCCGACUUUAUGGUGCGCUUUAGCCACUUUGUUGGGCUGCUUUGGCAAUGCCGCGACGCCUGCCGUCACAAAUGCCUGCUAUAUUCAAUUGUUCUAGAGUUGUAACUUCUGUUGAUUGCUGCGCGGUGUGCUCUAAAUCGAAAUGCACUGCUGAGCCGAACAAUCAAAAGGCCGAACAAAGCUUUGAUUGGAGCUUGUUGAAACUUGAAACUGUUCCGUAAAGAAACUGUGCUGUAAAUUUCUGUCGUCUGUCAUCGAAGACUUAUCUUAGUAAAUUCUAACAGUGAAAAUUAACCAAUAUUUUGAGCAUCAAAUACAUGUGUGGAGACAUGUAUUUCAUUGUGCAUCUUGCAACUUGAUCUUGUCCUGUAAUUCUACAUAUACUAAUCCUCUCCUUCCUAUGUUGAUUUGUUGAUCUGAAUCUGAUCUCAGUGGAAUCUUCAAAGAAGCUUGGUAAGAGGAAUCCGAGGCGGCUUUUUCGCCACAUGGUAAGAAGGUAUUCUUUUACUAGACCUUUUGCUUUGAAUUAAUAUAUGAUAUGAAUUAAAUAACAUUUUCUACUUGCCACAUGAUCAUCUAAGUUUAAUUUAAUAUGAUAAAAUCAUCUGACUAUAUACAAAAUUUUUCUGAUGAAAUGAUGUUACUGUUAAGUCAACUAGGCUGUUGUUUGCAUCAAAUUGAAUGUAGCAACAUGAGAUAGUGUUUGAUUUUUUUUUUCUUCAAACUAUAGUAUGAGUUAAACUGAAAUGGGAAAAAAGUCAGUGAUUUUUUUUUUUUCUCUUUUGGGUGCUUCGAUUUAAGGUUGGUUGGUCAAAUUGUAAAUAGAAAAAAAUUGUGAUUGUGUGAUUUUUAUGUGUCCUACCAAUGCAACCAAUCCUACUAGCAAGUAAUUGUGUUAGUUAGCCGGGUCGGACCGGGUCGGGCUUUUUCGAAGUGGUAAUGUGGGCAAUGGAUGGGCUGAAAACUAGGAAAAUAUUGAAAACUAGUCUUAGUUCGAUGCACGGAUUGAUCUCCAUGGUUAAUAUUUUGGGUGCAGUUACGUAAUAGCUUAGUGAGCAGGAUUUUUCUGUACACAGACUCAUCCUGCUAUUUCUCUGACCCAUAACGGAUGGUUUCGAUUCAUCAUGAGCUGCGGAACUACCUGUGCAAAAGAAAAUAUAAGAAAUGCAUAACCUAACAUCUUAAGCAGAAGUACUUCUUUAGCUACAAAAAUUAUAGGAAUUUGAACUUAAGGAAUCAAAAAAACAUUGGCAAGGGCCAAAGUCAUAAGUUUCCACUUUGAAAGGCUAGGAUUUACUCAUCUAGCAUAUCAACUUUUGAUUCUAAAAUACUAAAGGCCUAAUAAGGGAAUUUUAUAAACCCUUGGAUCUAAGAGAUGUAAGAUGUACACUACUAUAUAAGAUGCACAGGUAGUUUAUCCAAAUUGGAUAAAAAUUUCUUCAUUAUUUGAGAGAAGAAAACAAGUUUCCAACUGUGAACCAAUACACUCACUGAGGUAAAUAAACAAGCAAGAAUUUGGGUAAAAUAGGGAAGUUUGUAUACCCACAGGAACAAAAUUUGCAUUGAGGGUAAAUUUCAAAUUGUUUCCCUGUGGUUUAGCUCAUUUUCACUCUGUCACUCCUCGGUUUUAAAAGUUUCACUUUGCCAUCCUGUGGUUUAAAACAUCGCGCACUUUGCCUUCCUGCGGUUUUUCGUAUUUUUUACUUUGCCAAUCUCUGAUUUUUUUUUUUUUAAUUGUCGGCUUCGCUACCCACUUUUAUGGAGAAUUAUUUGGUGAAAUAAAAAUUAAACCACAGGAAUGGUAAAGAGACAAUUUUUUAAACCGCGAUAUGAGGACGGAGUAAAAAUAAGCUAAACACAAAAGGGUAAUUUGAAAUUUAUUCUGAAAAAACUAAAUACUUCCAUAUUUAAUGAAAGAAAGGCAUUAAUUACUAAAAGCGUAUUAGCUUAAUUUUUCUCCUUGUAUCAAUCAAUCAUUUGUAUAGGUUGACAUGUCUAAGAUCUUAUUACUAUUAGGAUUUUGUAUUUUGUGGUUCACCACAAAUAAGUGGCCAAAUCAAAGCGUGUGGUGGGUUUUUAUUUGCCUACUUUAUGGGGUCCCAUUAAUGUUUUUAUGUUUUCGAGUGUGUGUGUGUGUGGUCCCAUGACACUCUUUUUUUUUUUUAAAAUUUUUUUUAUUUGGCUAAAUUAUAAAAAUUUUUCAAACACUUUAGCACUUAUUAUGUCAAUUAUUAUUACUCUUCUGUAUAAAAAAUUACAUUAAAUAUUUCCAGCUAUUUAUGGUAAUUUUUGAAUUCAGCAAUAAAAUUCUAUAAAAAUAAAUUUGCAGACAAAAUUAUCUAUAAGUAAUACAAUAGAAUUAUAUAAAUUAAAUAAAUUUUUCAAUAAAAUAUUAAUUUCGCCAGUAUCAGCCAAACAAGAGAUCUCUUUUAACUGAAUUUUUUUAUCUAUUUUUUGAGUUGUAAAUUGGAUAUAUAUUAAGACGUGACAUAAUAUAAUAUGUCAAUGUCAAUUAGUUUUAGUAUGAUUUUACGGUCUAAUUUGUGAAUCUUUUUAACUUUUUUUAAUUCUAUUUGAGAUGGUGAUACAAUAUACGAUUAUAAUUAAUACAAUUUUUAGAUUGGAAAGUGCAACAUUUUAUUUAUUUUCUUUUUUUUUCCCUUUAUUUUUUUGCCACUAAAAAAAAUAUGCAUAUCCCGUAUGAAAAGGGGCAGCUUUAAUAGUUAAUACAACAGCAAAUCCCCAUCAAAAGCCACAAUCCAGCUGUCACCUCCCAAGAAACCCUUCUACUUAUUCCACACAGAAAAAAAAUUCCACCAUUUAAUUAAAUAUCUCUCUACAUUGCAUUAAACACAAAUUUUUUUUUUCAAAAAAUAUUUUAAUAUAUAUUAUUAUAUUGUUCAUAUUUAAUUUUUUUUUUGUCAAUCCUAAUUAUUACAAUAAAACUAUUUUCACCAAUUUGGGGCCAUUUGGUUUCUNUUCUUUCUUCAAAACAAUUCAGAAAAUGAAAACAUUAGUUUUCUAUAAAAUUUGAAAAAGAAACUUUCCCACAAAAUCUAAUUUCUUUGGAACCGAACGGCGAAGAAAUGAAAAAGGGAUUUUCCGUAGAAAAUUUUUUUUACUUACAAAAUUUAUUUUCAUAUUCCGAGAAACCAAAUAAUCCUUAUAUACUUAAAAAUCAUGAACUAUCACCACCGUUUAGUGAAGUUGGUUGAUUUUUAAAUCACAGACUAAGAGGUCAGGAGUUUGAUUUACUGCACAAGCUUUUAUAUCUUGGGGAGAAAAAAGAAAUUGUAUCUUGCUACAAAUUUUUCCCUCGACAAAUCUGAGUCGGGUUGGGUCCGACCCAUUUUCACCCUGAAUUACAUGUAUCGAAUACUAACCCAUGAUAAGGAUGUAAAUGGAUCCGGAUUGGUGGAGCUCCCGCCUUGAUCUGCUUCGAUCUCUCCGGAAUGAGACCGUAAGUGAAAACCAAAAAUAUAAAACAAUAUAAUUCAUCAUGAAUGUGUCCUUAUCCGCCAAAAAAAAAAAAAGAAGAAAGAAGCUAGAUGUGGGACAAAAAACAGAGAAGGAGGUGGAAGAAUCAUUACUGCGUUCCGAUCCGCCCUGUUUACAUUCCUAGCCAUGCAAUUCAUGCAAUGAUGCAAUUAACCCAAUCCUACAAAAGAGGGUGUCAAAAGGAAAGAUUAGGUGGUCAAAGGCUGAGAAAAAGUCAUGUGGAAGGAAAAGGUAUUCUCCAUGCAUUAUCCAUCAUCCUCAUUGCCUACAUCAUAAUGCAAAAACUUUCCAUUGUUGGGUCCAAAAAGUUACAAACAUAUAUAAUAAUUAUAAUUAUUAAGACAAAAACAUAUAAAACUUACUCCUUACCUAUAAAUCAUUUUAAGUUAAUUAUUCAAUCUUUUAAAAUUUUAAUUUUGCCUCCUAUUUUUUCUUAAUUUGUUUAGUUCGAGUCAGUAAACGAUAUUUCGACUUUAAAAUUUUAGCUAAUUAUUUAUUUUUAAAUGAUGUACACUAAUUAAAUCUGUAAAAAUAAAUUAUAUACUCAAAUUUGAUAGUCAAAGUGUCAUUGAUUGACUCAAAUUAAAUAAAUUGAAUGAUUGAAUGGUAAAAUCAAAAUUUUGAAAAGUUUGAUAGCCAGAUCUAAAUGGUUCAUAGUUCAGAUAGCUUCUGCACUUUUCUACCGAUAAUUAAUAACUUACCAUUUGUGGUUAAAAUUGCAAAAUCCUUAUGCUUACAGGGCACUGAGGGUAAUUUUGCCGAGCUAAUAAUUUUCUAGUUAUCAAACCACAACAUUUUAAGGUCAGAGAUUAGAGUCUGUGUGUAGCCAUGAGUUCGAAUUUAAUAAAUAUAUUACGGUUAAUUUCAUACAGAUCCCUACAAACAUGAUGAACAGCAGAUAUAUUCCUGCAAAGUUCAACUUUCAUAAGUUAUCCCUGCAAAAGUUCUAAUGUAUUUAGAUGCAUCCAUGCCGUUAAUAUCCGUUAAAAAAAUCUAGUUAACCACAGUUAAAAUACUUAACCAUGAUUAAUUAAUAAUGUGAAUUGAUAAUUUUGUCCUUCUUUUUCUUCCUCUUCUUCUUCUUCAUCUUCUUCUCCGUAUCCUUAUUUUCCUUCUCCUUUUCUCCUUAUUCUUCUUCUUCUUCAUCGUCGAUGAUCCGAUCGUCGUCGCCGUCAUGGUGCCUGCGUGGGCCAUCGUCACGGGCGCCUCCGAUGGCAUCGGCCUCGCCUUCGCCUUCCGCCUCUUCCUCGUCCUCGUUGGCCGCAACCCCAACAAGCUCCGCAAGGUCGCCGUCGCUGUCCACUCCCACAGCUUGAAAAGGAAGAGGAAGAGGAAGAGGAAAAGGGCAAGGGUAAAAGUGUCAUUUCACAACUCUACUGUUAAAAAAUUAACAGUUCUCUAACAGAUACUAACCAGAGGGACAUAUCUAAAUACAUUACAACUUUUACAGAAAUAACUUAUAAAAGUUGAACUUUGCAGGGAUAUAUCUGCUAUUCAUCAUGUUUGCGGGAACCUGUAUGAAAUUAACCCAAUAUAUUAUUGUCAAAAAAUAGAAGAAAAUUAUUUAUCAUGUGAAUAGUUUAGUUUGCAAAUUACCAUUUGUACCAUAUUGCUAUAUGCCCAUUGCCCAAGAUUACUAUUAUUAUUAUUAUUCAUAUCACUAUUGUUAUUAUUAUACAUUAUUUUGUAAAUUACUUUAUAUAUAAUUUAACUGAAAUUAUAUAAAUUGACCAUUAUUCAAUGAGUCCUUGUCCUUGUGUGGUGACAAUAGUUCUAUCUGAGUAAUGCCUUACUGCCUUAGCUCCUAUACUUUCCAAUAUUAUUAAUGCAUCAAAUUUGUAGACUGAUAAAAAUUAACUAUAUAUAGGCUAAAUAAUAUUGUAGAAUAGAUAUUUUGGUUUGUAAGUUAGUAUUGUACAUAUGGUUGGAACCAGCUAUAUUCUUAAAACAAAAAAAAUCAGAUGUACUGUUUAAUUGUACUAAUAUUUAACUUAUCACAUGCUAACUAAUUAAUAAUAUUUUUUUUCUUUAAAAGAUAUAGGAUGUAUUGUAUAUAUUUGAUGAACUAAACUAACUACUGAUCGAUGCUACACUUAUAAAACAAAUUCAUGAAUAGCAUGUUUAAGCUAUAUUGCUAGUGUAAUAUAAAAAAAAAAAAUAAAAUUGAGCCUUAAAAAUAGAUACUCUAUUUACUUUGGUUUAUUGCAACACUGCAAAAAGAAAUUCUCUUAUAAGGAUGCUUUAGAGAAUGUGGUUAUAUGAAUUCUUUCUUAUAUCAAAUCAAUUUAGUGAAGAAUAAAUUGCACUAUUAUUUUUAUUUUUAUGACACUAUAAAGCGUCAGGAUUUUUUAAAAAAAAAACUAGAUAUUUUAAGUAGUCAGAAUAUAUUUCACUGAUGCAUGCAUGGCUCGAGCAUCAGUAUAUAUGUGAUGAUUCUUUAUUUACCGGCGUUGCAAAUACAAUGGUAGACAAUUUUGGAAUGCUUUUUAAGUAUUAGUAAUUACCCGAAAAAUAGAGCAUCAGGGCUGGGUUCACAGAGUUUUUAGGCUAAAAAUUAAGAAGAAAUAAAAAGCUUAAAUGAUGGUAUUCAAUUCAGAAAAAGACUUUUUUUUUUUUUAGAGAUAGAUAGCACGCUACCCGCUUCGUUUAUUUCAUUUAAAAAUAAACUUAGCUAAAAAUGUGAAUCAACUAGAAUUCGAACUUGGAUCUCGGGUAUCAACCACCAAGUCCUUUGCCACCUACUCUAGGGACGAUCAGUCAGAAAAAGACUUUUAUUGUACGCAAUUUCCUGCUAGUUAUAGAUUCAUCUUUCAACUUCAGUUGCCCUACAGUAAUUGAACGGUUGCCACUUCGUCGGAAUUGCUCCGGUCAUAUUUCGUCGGUUACAAAACUGCUUUCGUAUCUCCAGCUGUUCCGACCCAAAAUUUAUUUGUCUUCAGACUCAUUUUUUUUUCCGACUCUCGAAGCACGCACUACGUGUCACCUUUCUAUUUGACUACGUGAGCCGAACCGACCAAUAGUUUGCACUGCAAUUUCCUGCACCAACAGUACUAUGAUAGUACUUCAUCACAUAAUUAAUACCAUAUUGUACAGUAAGAUCAAAUAGUUUCUUAGCAUUAAGGAGAUGAGAUUUGCUUUUAAGCUUAGAAUAAUACUAUUUUGUUUACUUGAGAACUUGGAACACUCCUGCAAUUGUCUCAAAAGAAGAGAGAAAGAAGGUCAAGGAAGCAGCAGAAGAGGAAAGCAAAAAGAAAGGGGCAAAAUAGAAAUGGUGGAAACAAAGCAAAAUAGAGAGUAUAUAUAUAUAUAUAUAUAUAUAUAGAGAGAGAGAGAGAGAGAGAGAGAGAGAGAGAGAGUUAAACUCUUUCGGUAGUAAACGGGUUUCGUUACUAUCUAUUUAUUUUUUAUGAUGGAGCUUUUAAAUCGACGAUUGGCAUCGUUAAAUAUGAUCUAUACCACUUAAAUAUCUAGAAAUCAAAUUUUAAAUUUUUUCGACAUCAUUGACCUAAUAAUCAAAGAGUUUCAAAAAUUAUAAUUUUAAUCGUAGAUAUGAGCCAUUUUCUUGUUUAAUGGUGUAAAGCUAUUCAAAUGAAUUGAAUUUUGGUUAGAAAAUUUUUUAAAUUAUUUAGAACAUGACCUAUACUAUUGAUCUUGAUUACAAAAUUUCUAUCAUCACUUUUUAUAGAAUAUUCAUUUUCAGCCGUUUAUUUUUAUGUCCAUUUGAUGGACGAGAAGAAUAUAAAAAAAGUAUGAAAUUUGAUUUUUCUCAAUACUUCAAGUGGUAUAAAUCAUAUUCAACGGUGCCGAUUGUUGAUUUGGAGGCUCCAUUAUUGAAAGUAAAUGGGUGACAACUGAACCCGUUUGUUACCAUUAGUAUUUCAGCUCAACUCUCUAUCUCCCUUUCUCUUUCUCUCUACCUCUAUAUAUAGAGAGAGAGAAAGAGAGAGUCCGGCUACUAUACUCUUAUGAGUAUAAAUCUUUUUGUACUUAUAAGUUUAGACCGUUAGACUUUCUAUCUUGAUCAUUUUCAUCUGUUAGAUUAUAUUGUUCAACCAAUCACUUACUCAACUAAAGAACCAUUGUCAUUCUAAUCGAGAACCACUAUCAUCUUACUUGUACAGUCCAUCAUCUAACGGCCGAAAAUUUAUAAGUGUAAGGAACCUAUACACAUAAAGAAUAUGGUAACUCUAGAUUAUAU